CUCCUUUCAGGAAGUCAUUUCACCCACUGGAGCAGCUGUAUUCAGGCAUGGCCAAGUCCAUGCUAGCUAGAUUCAUUAUCUGGAUUCAUGCCAGCCAGAGCUCCAACUGGUCUAGCCCCACAAGCACCUGGGUCUGGAUUCUGGCUGAUUUUCCUCUGUGGUCCAUUAUGACAUCACAAGCAGCCAGAAGAGAGUGGGCCAAAGGAGGGAGAUCAGGUACAUAGCUGUAAGGUAGCUUCAUCUAGCUUGUGUCCACUAGACUUGGGAAGCUUUCCUUUGAGGGCUGGAUAAGAGCACCUUCAUGAGAACCUAUUUGCAGGAGGACAGAAGUGGCUGAGCAGUGCAGCUAUGUAAGUCAACAGGCUGAGUUCCCUGAUUGGUGCUUCCAUCUAUUGCUAUUGUCCAUCUUGCCCAAGGAUCAAACAUCAGGUUCAAGCCCAGCCCACUUAUUAGUUAAGAUGGGCAUUUGUCCAGAAUAUAUGAUCUAUGGCAUUUCAAAUUCUGCAGAAGGGUGUGUAUGUGUCAAAUAGGCUGAUAGAGCCACAACUGAAUAUGGGGUCUUCUGUGUGCAAGACAAGUGCUCUUAGCUUCUGAGCUGCUUCUCAGAUUUAAUUGAGAAGUUUUAAAAUGUGAAGUAAUUGCAGCCAUUCAUUUAAUCCCUUUGGUUAACCUGUGUUGGUCUCCAACACUCAACUAGACAUGCCCUGGUCAAUUUAAGCUGUGUCUCAUGCUAAGGCAGCCAUCACAUACUUGGGAGUAAAUUCCAAGGAGCACAGCAAGGUUUACUACCCAAGAAACUUGUGCAACAUUGAGCUGCAUGAACACAAUACAGCUAUCAAUUAUGGGGAUGCAAGUUCGAUUCAUUCAAGCAGCAAAAGGGUUGCAGACACGAUAGAGCAGCCAGAGAAAUCCUUUUGGCACAUCUGAAGCAAAACACUUAAGAAUCAAGGAGGCCAAGAUACUUUCCAUUGGCUUGCUUAGUAAGCCCAUGUUUUAACUCCAUGUGCUAACACAGUUAAAACUACCCCAUUAUAUGAUUCCAUUUUGUCCUGGUUCAUGAUCCAACCCAAAGGUUGCACUUUUAAGUCGUAUUUAUUUCUGUGGCAGAGUGCUCUGCUUGCUUAGUUGGGACUGAGCCCCACUGAACUUGGCAAGACUUACUUCUUGGUAAACGUACAUGGGAUUGGAAGUUAGAUGUACUUAACUUUGGCUGGAUCAGGUCCAUGGCUCUGUUUUAUGGCUUUGCUUAGGCUCUGCAGCAGCCGAGCUAAUUCAUCAGGUGGUUAUUUCAUGUGAAAUACCUGCAUUUGCUGAUAAAAACCUGAGCUAGACAAAUCAGUUGUUUCCAGUAAAGUGUGCUGGCUGUGUUGAUAGCUAUUUCAUGAUAAAUUGAGGGGUGUGGUGUGCUUUUUAAAAAAGAAAAAAUGAUGAAUGACACUAUUUGUUUUUCUGGAUUUGAAAAGGAAUCCACAUUUUGCUGCCUCAGCAGCAGUUUGAGAAGCCAAGAUUUGUGGUGACUGUUCAGUUAGGAGUAUGACGGGAUCAGCAGAUCCUAGAUUUCAGCCACUUUGGUCAUUAAAUCAUUGUUCCAUUCCUUUUGCUCACCCACCUGCUGCCACCUCUGUCUCUCACUUCAGUCUUACUGUACCAAUUCAGUUCACCUGCUCAUCAGUGUGGCCACAAAAGAGUCAGGUACAAGAUAUUUUAGUAACCUCCCCAGAGUAACAACAGAAUAAAUCCAGCAACUGGCAUGUCUCCGGCCUAGGUCUUGCCCCACCACCUAUUGCCCGACCCUUUUCAUUGAAGGUUCUAGUGAAAAACAAAAAAAAUAAUAAGAUCAUGGCCACUGUUCACAUCACCUCCUGGCAAAUAGAAGGGGAAGAAAUGGAGACAGUGAAAGAUUUUACUUUCUUGGGCUCCAUGAUCAGUGCAGAUGGUGACAGCAGUCACGAAAUUAAAAGACGCCUGCUGUCACAGUCCGGCCUACAGGUGAUCGAAGUCCAGGCUGAGGAUGUCGGGACCGGGGGCAGGAUGGCGGGGUGGGAGCAGGAACGAGAGUCCAGAAGCCAGGGGUCCGAGGGUCAGGAAGCAGGGAGUCAUGAAGUCAAGGGUCUGAGGGCCAAGAAGCAAGAAGCCAAACACAGCAAGGCAGGAAAUGUGUUGCUGUGGCAAAGAGCCGAAGGGAAAUGCUGACGUUUUAUCCCUUCCCAGCUCUAGCCACCAGGCACAGUGAGUUACCAAUUGGCCUCACCUGUGCCUCUCCAGAACAAACUUAGGAAGGCCCCAGUCCUGCGAAGUCCUACUGGUCACAGGGCCCGGCUCCUGCACGCACUCCUGACACCUGCUCCUUGGGAGAAAAGCAAUGACAAACCUAGAGAGCAUCUUAAAAAGCAGAGACAUCACCUUGCCAACAAAGGUCCAUAUCGUUAAAGCUAUGGUUUUCCCAGUCGCUGAAGAAUGGAUGCUUUUGAAUUAUGGUGCUGGAGGAGACUCUUGAGAGUCCCAUGGACUGCAAGGAGAUCAAACCUCUCCAUUCUUAAGGAAAUCAGCCCUGAGUGCUCACUGGAAGGACAGAUUCUGAAGCUGAGGCUCCAAUACUUUGGCCACCUCAUGAAAAGAGAAGACUCCCUGAAAAAGACCCUGAUGCUGGGAAAGAUUGAGGGCACUAGGAGAAGGGGACGACAGAGGACGAGAUGGUUGGACAGUGUUCUCAAAGCUACCAAUAUGAGUUUGACCAAACUGCGGGAGGCAGUGGAAGACAGGAGUGCCUGGCGUGCUCUGGUCCAUGGGGUCACAAAGAGUCGGACAUGACUAAACAACAACAAAGUAUGUAUUGUAGUAUUUUAUGCAUUGUGACAUUGUUAUUUUUAUUGAUUAUGGUUUAGUAAUUUAUUGCAAUUAAGAGUGAAUUUUUGUUUAAUUGUUAUUUGCUGCUAUUUAAUUUUAUUGUGUACUAUUAUGUUUAAUGGAUUAUUCAACAUUAUUUGAUAAAAGUUGUCUAUGUUAAAGGUAUGCUUUUAUUAUGACUUUUUAUAUUGGAUCAGGUUGUUAUAAGGUGUGUGAACUUUAUUGUAUAUUUUGUUGUUUUUUCAGCUUGUAAACUCUGCAUAGUCAUAUAGAAAGGGUGAUAUGCAAAUUAGAAAUGAAAUAGAAAUGAAACAGAGAACUUAUUUUAUGUCUUUUGGAAUCCUAGCGAAAACAGAGCCAUGCACUCAAACUAACAGACAGUAAGCUCAGGAGAGACAAAGGAGCAUAUUGAACACAAAAACACUUUAAGGAUAUUAACACACUCAAUCAACAUCUCAUGUUACAUUUGAAAUAAAUAUGGCUGUAACAGAUCUCAAACUGAGCCUAAAGGGGGAGUGUGUUUUGGGAAUGUAUCCAGGAGAAAGCAUUGACCCAUUGAAAGCAUCAAAUGUUUGGGCACGCUCAAUGACUAGUCCAGAAAGCAAAUGCUGUCCUCAGUGAUGUUGUCAAACAGCCAUCGCUACGGGGAGGAGAGGGGACAACCAGCUGGGUUUUUUUGCCCUGGGUGAGGGGUGCCUUUGUGUGCGUAUGUAUGCAAAUAUGUGUGUGAGGGUGCCAAGCUGGGUCUUUGACUGGGGUGAAAUAAAGCCUAGUUUAUAAUGAAUCCCAGAUUAGUUUGUAUCUCUUGGACAAGGAGAAAGCUUGGGCAAGAUAUAGAGAUUGUCCAUGACAGCAUAAGACAGGUGAUGAAAAAGGUACAAUUAAGGGUUUUGGGGUUUUUUGUUGUUGUUUAGUCAUUUAGUCGUGUCCAACUUUUCGUGUCCUCCUGGACCAGAGCACACCAGGCCCUCCUGUCUUCCACUGCCUCCCACAGUUUGGCCAAACUCAUGCUGGUAGCUUCGAGAACACUGUCCAACCAGCUUGUCCUCCGUCGUCCCCUUCUCCUUGUGCCCUCCAUCUUUCCCAGCAUCAGGGUCUUUUCCAGGGAGUCUUCUCUGCUCAUGAGGUGGCCAAAGUCUUGGAGCCUCAGCUUCAGGAUCUGUCCUUCCAGUGAGCACUCAGGGCUGAUUUCCUUCAGAAUGGAUAGGUUUGAUCUAUUUUCACUCCAGGAAGAAGAAACACUCUAUGCAGGUCUGAUAGACCCUAUAGCCCAUUAUUUCACCAAUGUUUUGAACUCAGGGUCCCUUCCAAAGCUGCCCUACCUACUGAGCCCAACAGUUAAGCAAGUAGCAGAGAAUCAUUGCCUUGAUUGAAAUUAGAGUCAGAGAAGAAUCUGCGGAGUCUCUGAGGUGAGUAUCCCAAGCUCCCGAGACUCAUCUCUCAGAGCUCAGAUAUGUGAGCCUUCAAGAACAUCAGUACAUUACAUGUGCAAAACGUGUAAGAGAGCUCAGUUCACGGUUCUAUAUUUUUCUUUCACGAAAGCAGCCAUGGCACAAAGAAUGUUGCAGAAAUGCAGUGGAGAUUAGGGGUGCUUAACCCUUCAGCAGCUUGCCUUGUCCAAAUCAUCCUCCCAAAGCAGCCCCUGGAGAUUCAUGUUGAAGAAAGUCGUUGAGGAUCAUUUUGGAUUAAAAAUUGAGGGUGAAAAAGGGUCAAGCACUUCCUCCCCCUGCUGCUUCUCCACUCCAAAUUCUCUGCUUCUGAGGCUGUUUUUGUUUUGUUUUGUGUUUUGUUUUGUUUUUUAAGCAUCAGGGCUCUUACAUGAGUUUACCCUUUUUCCAUCUUGAAAAGUUCAUAGAGCUAAAGGAGGAAGUUGGAAAAGUGGUGCUCUUUCCCCUUCCUGUUUCAGCUCUAUGCACAUUUCAAGGGAGGCAGUGGAAGACAGGAGUGCCUGGCGUGCUCUGGUCCAUGGGGUCAUGAAGAGUCGGACACAACUAAACAAAAACAAACAACAAAGUGAAUGGAGCAAGGAUCCUCUGCAAGGAAAGCCACUGGGCCAUGGUCCUUUUCCAGGGAGCCCUGCACUAGUGCCAUAGCUACAGGGGGACUAGUUGGGGUUUUUGCCCCAGGUAAAGCCACCGGAGGGGGCACCAGUAGGGCUCCCAGCCUAUGUGUGUGUGUACACAAAUGUGCAUGUGGGGGGGGGAGUGCCCAAGUGGGUCUCUGACCAAGUGAAAGAAUGUCUAGUUUCAUCCCUGCCCUGCACUCUCAAGCCAUUUAGCUCAGUUGGGAAGCAUCUUGCUCCUUGCCUGCAGACUCUCAGGGGAAGAGGCUGGGAAGAGCCAUACACCCAGGCACUGACAAGCAGAAUGGUGGGUAGACUGUCAGGCCAGCCCUUGGGAGACCAGGGCUCAAAUCUCCACUCAGCCAUGAAGCUCGUGGUGUGACCUUGGGCCUAUCCUACCUCAUAGGGGUGUUAUGAUGAUAAUAUGGGGGGAGGGAUAACCAUGCACACCACCUUGAGAAGUGGCACAUGGGAAAACACAAAGCGGAGAGUUGCAUCUGCUGCCAGUCUUACUCAGCACAGACCCAUUGAAAUUGGUAAGUGUGACUAUUUUAUUUUAAAGUUUCCUUCCUCCCCAAAGAGCUCCCCAAGGAGUGGCAGACAACAAGUGCUAAAAGCAUCUUAAAAGCAAUUCCAGGAUACAUGCAGACUGGGAAUGAUCUCAGCUUAAAGGGCUGGUUAGAAGAGGCAGGUCUUCUGUGGUGCCAAAAAGACAAUAUUCUAAUAUUCAAGGGGAUGGCAUUCCAAAGGGCAGAUGCCACAACACUAAAGACUUGAUUUCUACUUUGUGUGGAAUAUGCUUCCUGAUAAGAUGUAGGAGGCCCUCACUUGCAGAAUGCAGAGAUUGACUGAGUCUAUAUGGGGUGAGAUAUCUUUCAGGUCCAUUCAUGUCAAUGGGUCCACUGUGAAUAAAACUUAGUUGGAUAUGACCUUGAUGCUCUAUUAAACUUUUGGCACUGGGCAAAAACCUCUUUAUUUUCCCAGGCCUUAAACUAUGCUGUUUUGUCCAUCUGCAGCCCCUUUGAUUUUAUUAUCAUUUUUGUUAUGGUAUCAUUUUAUUCUUUAUUCUUUGUGCAUUAUCAAGUCUGGGAUUCAGUUAAUUAGUCCUGCUAGCAGAAGCCUGCACAAAGACUUGUGCUAGUUCAAUGGGGCUUUCCCCUCCCCUCUCCGUAUUCCCCUGUACUCCUCAAAAUUGGGUCGGGGGUCAGGAGAACCCCCAGAACAUCACAUGGAGGGAGGAGAGAGGGAUUGUUCUACCCAGCAAGCUGAAAGGCUUGUGCUGGUGGCAUUAUUGCCAUAGUGCUAAGUUGAAUUCCUCUUCCUGCAGAUGUUUAUAUUCAAGGGAGGCAUAGAACUUUUAAUAAAAGCAUCCAAAGAGAAGAGUUUUCCACCAUGUUAGAUACUCCCAAGGAUGCUUUGGUUCCCAAAGACUGGACUUGUAGACAGAAUCAAAGGUUUGUUGGAAAUCAUUAAAGGCCAUAAAACAAGCUUUGUUGAACUCAGCCUUUUUUGUAAUUAACUACUGUCAGAUGGAGAUGCUAAAGCCAGCUUGUUUUCUGGCAUUGUCUAGUGUAGCUCAUCCUGACCACAACACACUGAAUCACUCUCAGGUAAGCCCCAUUGAAUGGCCAUUGGUUGCAGUCCUAUACCCUGCUUGCUCUAAGCAUGUGGUGCAAAGUGAAUACCUAAGGACGUGAAUGAAAAGCUCCUGGACCUACAAAAUCUAUCCUCUCUAACAAUUGGCCAUGCUGCCUAGGCACAUGAUUGGAGUUGCAGUCCAACAAUAUCUGAGGUUGCCAUGUUGAAUAUCCUGAUGCAUAUGAUUACACCAGUGGUGGGAAGCCUUUGGCCGGAGGGCCCAAUUCCACCGGGCCUCCCUAUUUUGCCCAGCAGACAAUAUGGCCAAGCCACGCCCACCUGUCCUACGCCUGAUGUCAUGUAAAGAUGCAGCUGGGUCAAAGGGAUUUGCAAGUGGUGCCAAUCCGUGGAUCAUCACUUGCAAAGUUGAUUGUCAGGGCUUGCAAAGAGCCACGAGUGGUUUGUAUAACUUCCUGCAUGGUUCUUCCCAGUCCCCUAAGAUCAGCUGAUCAGCUGCGACAUCAGGGAAUGGGCAGAUGGGCAGUCCUGUCUACAUGCCACACUUGGUUUGCAUAGGGAGGGAGACAUUAGCAUCUGGCCCCCUAGCCAUCUGUAGGUCCCACCUCCUGGAUUAUACUCUCUGCCUGCCCAGCAGAAGUUUUGCUGCAAUGAAAAUUGUUCCAGCUAUUGACAGGAGUCUGGCUCCUUGAUAAUUGAAACCUAUCGACCGAUCACCUUUCUUUAAGAAAGGCAAUACAAGACCUGCAUUCCAAUCCUCUGAUUUGUUCAGUGUGCUGCAUUGCUUGGAGGAAAUGGUGAUGAUGAAUUAGGGAUUCUGGGUUCAGGGUCUCCAACCCCCCAUUGCACUUGGAGACCAUUUUUAUCUCAGUUGCUCAUAUCUAAUGUCAUUUGUACCUUAUAUGUGCCUGCCUGACAGGACUUCCCAGAUCUGUUUAAAUCUCUCUUGACUGUCACUCUGCAUGCUGUGUCUGAAUUAACUCAGGAGGCUGGAUGUUCGACAAGGUUGAGGCAUUUUCUCUGUGAUCCCAGGUCUCUCCUUUCAUUGCAUGUCUAGAGGUUAUAUUUAUGCUGUGAUUCCACAUAAGCUGAGGAGGGGAAAAUUAAAAAGAUGGUACUGAGUGUUUACCUAACAACGUUAGGCUCCCUUUAAAAAACAAGCAACACCCAAGUUUCUAGCCCCCAUUGUUCCAGAAAGAUUUAUGGAGGAAUUGCCUAAGGAAAUCUCAGAAGCGAGAGACAGAGGCUGUGUAUGCACAACAUUUUAUUCUAGAAUCAAUGGACACCACAUGCUUAUUUUUCUUAUGUAGUCCACUCAGUUGAGAUCUAUUGCAGAGUUGUUGGUUUUAUUUUUGCCCUUGAAAAGCACUUCUUAAUAACAUUAGAAGAGCCCCGUUGGAAGAAGCCAAAGGCCCAUCCUGUCCUCACAGUAACAAGCCAGAUGUCAAUGUGGAAGCCUGGAAACAGGACCUGAGCACCGCAGCCCCUCUCACUCCCCACUUGUGCUUCCCAGCAACUGGUUCUCAGAGGGAGGACAGAGCCGUCAUAGUAAGCAGCCUUAUCCUCAAUGAAGUUUUAUGAUCGCUACCCUCCCUUCCACAUCCCAACCAAAACUAGGAGAAAAAUGAGAAAUAGCUAAAACUGCUUGAAAUCCCAUUUAGAUUCUGCACUUUGUAUAAAUGAUGCAAAUUAAGCAUCUCUAUAUCUCUCGAUUAAUUGGCCAUGGUUAUCACUGGAAGGUGUCCCACUCUUGUUGCAUACACACACCUGAGAAAAGGUUCCAUUGAACUUGAGGGGACUUAGCACAGGAAUAUCCUUGGCUUCUGAGACUCUUCUAGGUGUUGCUGGCAUUGCCUCAAGUGUUUGCCUGCAUCCAGUUCCAGAACCCAGAUUCUCUGCUUGCUGGCAUAGUGUGAUCAGGUUGCACAAGACAUGCACAGAUCUGGCUGCUCGUGUCUCCUGACCUUGUCUUACCAUGCUCUCAAGCUUUAGUGCCUCAAUUGUUGUUGUUGUUGUUGUUUAGUCGUUUAGUCGUGUCUGACUCUUCGUGACCCCAUUGACCAGAGCAUGCCAGGCACUCCUAUCUUCCACUGCCUCCCGCAGUUUGGUCAAACUCAUAUUGGUAGCUUUGAGAACACUGUCCAACCAUCUCGUCCUCUGUCGUCCCCUUCUCCUUGUGCCCUCCAUCUUUCCCAACAUCAGGGUCUUUUCCAGGGAGUCUUCUCUUCUCAUGGUGGCCAAAGUAUUGGAGCCUCAGCUUCAGGAUCUGUCCUUCCAGUGAGCACUCAGGGCUGAUUUCCUUGCAUUUCUCAUUAUUAGCAAAAGCAGAAUAAAAUAUGCUAAAAAAGAGAGACAUCAUGGAAAUUUUUGAUAAUUGGAUCAUAUUGCUGAAGAAUGACUGAAUACACACUUCCAGUGCUCUUUUCUCUUCCAGACACUUAAAGGGUGUAAAUUUCUUUUUAUCCAUUGUAUUUGACACAAUAUGGAUCCCCUCCCCCUUCACUAGCAUUUUUCUAAAAUUAUUCUAUUUGCAAUCAAUACAUUUCCAAUCAAUUCUCUCUCUAGGAGUUUCAUGAUAUCCCUCUAUUGACAGAGCAAUAUAACAACAGAGUCAAAAGACAGAUGUUAAUUGGUGGUUUUAUUUAUAGGUAUAGUUUGUUCCUGAUGUCUAGUAAAAGCAGUAAUGAGUUUAUAACAUUUCAAAUAAACAGCCAACCAGUGUUAGAUACGGGCAAGCAGGGCAACCGGUGGCAUUCUCCCACUUGGCUCGUUGUGGUUGACAGGCCUGCAGGUGGAAAGAGGCAGGAAUGAAAAUGGAUUGAUCACACUGAUAGAUGACAGAAAGCCAACAGAUGGACACUGAUAGCCAUUGUAGCCAUUGAUAGCCUCUGUUCUACCUCCAUUUCAGUUGCUGGGAAUUAUAGAGGGGGGAGGGCUGUUGCACUCUGGCCAUGCUUGCACACUUCCCAUAGGCAUCUGGUUGGCCACUUUGGAAUGGGAUGCUAGACUAGACGAGCCCUUGGCCUGAUCCAGCGUGGCUCUAGUCAUGCUCUCAUGACAGCAGCCACUACAGUAUUGAGGAGGGAUCCUCCCCACCCCCUUGAAAAUGGGUGGGGGUGGCAUGAGUGGGGAAACUGGUGCCCUCUUGAUGUUUUGGACUACAAUUCCCAUCAGCUGCGGGCAGCAUAGCCAAUGGCCAGGGGUGCUGGAAGAUCUAGUUCAGUGUCAUCUGGAAAGUCACAGAUUCCCUAUCUCUGAACUAUAUUCCCCCCCCCCUUCUUUUCCCCAGCAGUGGUGCUUCACCUGUUUUGUGGUUGGUUUGGUUUUCAAUGGAUGUCCUGCCCUGCUCUGUUUGUAAUAUAUUGUAGGCUGGAGCAAAAGGUGGGUCCUGCAUCAGGAGAAAAUGAGAAGUCACUAGCUUUUUGUCCAAAGAAGAAAGCUAUUUCCGUUUUCUGAAUGGAGAGAUGAAUUAGGAUCUUGACAGCCACCACUAGAGGACUCUGCUGCCCUUCCAUCUGCAUCCCUUAAGGCAGGAGUCCCAGCUGUUUUGAAUGGCUGCAGAGCCAUAAUUUCCUCAUUCACCAUUAUAACAUAUUAACUUGCUGUUUUUCAUUUGCAGUUUUGUUGCUCACUGCUGUACUGAAUCGCCUGUAAAAUGUUACAGAAUCAAGGGGUUCUUUGAAGGGCCCCACUGACCAGCAGAAGCUGGCACAGCUGGCCAGAGGCAUUUACCUGACCUUCUCGCAGGUGAGUUUCUGCAGCUUAUCAGGAGGGGAAGGGUGAGGAGUGAGGUGGUAGAUAGAGUGAUGUGGUGCAAACACACUGACAGGAGUGCUGAUGGUAUGCUUGCACUACACCAACCUCACCACCAACUCACCUUGCUCAGUAAACAACAGAAACUUAAAUGCUGGGAGGUCAGGUAAGCACCUCUGCCACACUAUGACAUCCUCUGCUGCUGUUGACUGACUGCCCUAAGCCAGUACAUCUCCCAGUCCUGUAGAAAAAUCCACAUGUUUAACUAACAGGACUGCUGGGAAAUUCAUAUCUGACCAGGAAAAGGCCAUUGUGUGUGUGUGUGUGUGUAUUCUUAAUCCACUCUAGCAGAUGCCAUUCUGGUCUUUCUUCUCUCUCUCUUUGAAAACUUUCAAGGAAAAGGAAUAUGCAGCUACCUUAGACAAUGUGGUCCAUUGCUCAAAUACCACUAGGCUUUCUGCUAGUUUUUAAAUCUAAGCCUGUUUUACUGUAUCCUUCAACUAGGGCUCACUGAUUUAUGCAAACAUUUAAAUAGUACUGGGAAAUGUGCCUUUUUCUCAGUGAUUUUCAUUGAGAACCCACAACUUCAUGUUGUGGAAUCAUCUCACCUUCUUGUGUUCAUAAAUCUAUGAGAAUGGCAUAUACUUUCCCAUUCUCUGAUGGGUCAAAGCUCAACGGCAGUGCACAUGCAUUUCAUGAUAAAGUCCAGUGUUCAUUAUCUCCAGGUAAAAGAUUUAAGGCUGGACUGGGAAAGAACUGUGCCUGAGAACCUGAAGAGCUGUAGCCAGCUGGGGAAGGGACACUGCUUCAUGGCAGAGCAAACACUUUGCAUUUAGAAGGACCCAAAUUCAAUCCCUCACAUCUCCACUUUGCGCUGGGAAAAACUCAUGUCCAAAAUGAUGGAGAGACACUGUCAGUCAGUGUAGAUCAGGGGCAGUCACUAUGGCACUUUCCGGAGGUUGUUAGACUUCAACUCCUCCGCAGCCCUGGCCAGCAGGGCUAAUGGUUAUGGGUUGAUGUUAGCUGUAGUCCGAUGGUACCUGUAGUUCAACAACAUCUGGAAUGCCACAGAUUCCCCAUCCCUGAUAAGCCUUGUAGACCAAUGCUCUGAAUCAGUAAAAGGCAACUUCUAAUGCUCCAGCUGUAUGUCAGUGGUCUGCCUUGAGUUGGUGGCAUCUAACACCGUCACUUCCCAAUUGUUGUGCAUGCACCCUCUCACCAGCAUUUCUGCAGAGGAUUGUUCUCCUACACCAAGAUUAUGAGCUUUGUCUAAUAGAUUGGGGAAUGUUCCAUUAAGACUAAUCAAGGCUCCCUUCCACACUGCUGUGUUCUGACUCCCUGUCCCUUACUUUCACACCUACGUUGGUGGCACUUGGAGAAAAGUUUUGAUUGGCCAGAUGUGUGUCUUUCCUCCCACCCCGCAUUCCAAACCCUUCAACAUCUUCCAAAGUUUAUUUCACAUCAUUCUCAUUUCAGGUCUAGCCUUGCUCACAUGUGCGUCGGCUGGAGUCAUAAUGAGUGAGUGUGAGUAAGCAGGAUUGUUGAAUCAGCCUGCAUGCUCAUUAGAACUGCAAAUAUAACCUUUGUCUGUAUGAUCCAUGUUUCCUUCUUAUGUGGAGACAGCUCUACUUGCAUGCUCAGCUUCCUCCACGCCCUCAACAUCAUGGGGGCCCAGCCCCCUGCCAGCAGAUAUUGAGGGGGCCCAAGACAUCUCUGCCCCUAGGAGUUGGCCCGCCUAAUUCUAAUAUUCAGUUGAACACUCAUUUUGGUAGGGUGGGGCCUGCCACCAUGACCUCACCCACCCCUCCUUCACACUCUGUUGCCAUGAUCCUGCCUCUCCUCCACACUCCUUCAUCUAUCAUUUGAAAAUCAAUCUGCUCCAUUUCCAGUCAGUGUAACUUCCUGCUGAAAUCCCAUAACUUUCCAUACCGCAAAUGUUCUGAGGUUGUUGUUUUUUUUGUUCCAACCUUUGUUGCACUAUAGCACCUCCCAUAACAGUGUAGCAUCACAGCACUAGUAGAACAGAAUCAAUCCACCACUAAUAUACUAUUAUUGGGUUAAGAACAUGCUGCAGACAGUUAUCUUUCCACAAGGGCCAACAUUGAUGCCGAAAUCCAGCAUCGCCUGAGCUCUGCGAGUGCGGCUUUCUCCCAAUUGAAGUGCAGAGUGUUUGAGGACCAGGACAUUCACAGGGAAACCGAAAUGCUUGUUUACAAAGCUAUUGUACUACCAACCUUACUGUAAGCUUGUGAAACAUGGACCACUUAUAAACGACAUCUCCAACUCCUGGAAAGAUUUCAUCAAUGGUGUCUCUGAAAAUUUUUACACAUCACUUUGGAAGAUAGGCAAACUAAUGCCAGUGUACUGGAAGAAGCAAAGAUCACCAGUGUUUAAGCAAUGAUUCUUCAACAUCAACUUUGUUGGACUGGUCUUGUGCAGAUGCCUGAUUAUUCUCUUCCAAAGCAACUACUCUAUUCCGAACGUAAAAAUGGAAAGCGUAAUGCUCAACAAAAGAGGUUUAAAGACUGUCUCAAGGCAAAUAUUUAAAAAAAUGUAAUAUAAACACUGACAACUGGGAAACACUGGCCUGUGAGCGCUCCAGUUGGAGACCAGCCUUUACCAAAGGUGUCAUGGGCUUUGAAGACACUCAAACUCAGGACGCAAGGGAGAAACGUGUUAAGAGAAGGCAUGCUUGGCAAAUCCACACCGUGAUUAACUCCUGCCCAGAAACCAAUGUUCCCACUGUGGACGGAACUGUGGAUCCAGAAUUGGCCUCCACAGUCACUUACGGACUCACUUUUAAAACCAUGUUUAUGGAAGACAAUCUUACUCAGCUACCAGUGAUCGCCAAAGAAGCAGAAGCAGAAGCAGAAUACAUCUGCAAUAGCCCAGACUCUUAAGACAGAGGUGGCCAAAGCUGGUGGACUCAACCACAUUUGAAUCAAUUUAUGUUUUGUUUUUUGCUUUUUAAAAAGGUGGGGGAUGCCUAGCUCCACUUGUUGGAAAAGGUGAGGGAAAUGUUUUCAGUUUAGGUAUUAGCACUGUAUCUCUCCUUGGGCAUAGCUGUGCAUAAUGCUAUGGCUAUGCUUGGGCACAUGUGGUCCAUAACUCUUUCUGCUAGAUGGCCCCAUCUUCAUUAUCAAUGAGGACAUCAUUGUGGGUAGUCUAUGACCCACUAUCAGGAGCAAUCUUCCUACUGCCCUGUGGAUGUUGUUGAACUACAGCUCCCAUGUCCCCUGGCCGCUGGCCAUGUUAACUAGGGAGUUAUAGUCCAAAAUAUAGGGAGGUUUGGGAAGAUUGGUUUGUAGAAUAUAGUAUUUCAUAAGCAUACGGAAGUUGGCCGUUUCUGCUUUAAAUCUGCAAAAAGGUUGUGUUAUAGCUCAGUGCACCAACAUAAUACAUCUAAUCUCUACAGAAAUACUAGCUGGUCUAUCUGGCAAAUUGGAAAAAAUCAUAGCAUAGGAAGCACAAUCAAUGCAGAUGGAUCUUUUUCAAUGCUCCUUGCUUGUAGAUAUUGCUUUUUACACCUGGUUUAGUGCUAAAACACCACAUCACUGACAAAGGAUGCUUCCAGUUGCCCCUGAAUAAUUACAAAGAUACACAUUUUUUUCAUGAAAUGACUGUAUGUGUGACUUACACAGAUAUAUAAUAGCAAAUAUUGCACCCCCAAAUUAUAACACAGAUUAUAACAACUGCUUGUCCAGUUGAUUUCAAUGGGGAAGAUGUACAGCCUGAUUCUGUACAUGUUUACUUUGAAGUAAGCCCUACAAUGUUAUUUUUUAGGAGGUUGCACAGGAUUGCAACACUGAGCACGUUUACUUUUCCCAUUGAAACCAGUGACUUUCAAUGCAAUCUUAUGCAUUUCUACUCAGAAGCAAGCCCCACUGAGUAGGUAUAAGAUUGCAGUCUUGUAAGGAUCUGACUUUGGCUGAAUCGCAUGGCUAGUAAAAGAAAGAAUCCUCCAAGACUAAAAUCUUUGCCUCCAUCAAUAUCAAAUCGUGGUGCAGAUAAAAGCAGCAAAAGCAGAGCACCUGUGCUAUAUUGAUUGAUGCAACAGUAAAAACCAAACCAGGCAGCAAACAACUCCCACACCCUAAGGCAGGCAUCCCCAAACUUGGCCCUCCAGCUGUUUUGGGACUACAACUCCCAUCAUCCCUAGCUAACAGGACCAGUGGUCAAGGAUGAUGGGAAUUGUAGUCCCAAAACAGCUGGGGGCCAAGUUUGAGGAUGCCUGCCCUAAGUGUGGUGUCCUUCAGAUGUUGUUGACUUCUAGCUGGACUCCAACUCUCAUCGUUCUUGACAACAUCUGGAGGGCAUCAUUGGCUAUCCCUGCCCUAGCCUACUACUGGAUGCCUAACCCAAGCAUACAGGUGUUUGUGUGUGUAUAAGAUGUGCAACCUUUUGUGCAGUUAUUCUGAAUUACAUCUUUCUGAAUUAAGGACAAUGCCUUGUACUGAAUCAGACCAUUAGUCUGUCUUGCUCAGUGUUGUCAACACUGGCUUGAAGUAGGACUCCAGGAUUUCAGAUAGGAACCUGUCUGAACCUCAGAUCUUGGCCAUGCAAAUCUCAUGCUGUACCACUGAGUAAUAGCCCCUACAUGAGAGUAAUUUGGAAUUAUGCAGCUGCAGAUACUCACAAGCAAGCCCCACUGGGCUCAAUGGGCACAGACCCAUUUAACCACUUGGCUACACAGGCUUGUAACUGGGCAUAGUAUUGCAGUCUGCACCCUAUGUACUGAGUCCAAUGGGGCUUGCUCUGUAAACAUGCACAGCACUGUUAGGGAGGUCUCAAGAUACAGUAGCGGGGAGAAUCAGUUUUUGUGAUAGAAGUAGCAUUGGCAAAAGUGGAGCUGGGGCAUCUCUGGUGUUUGAAAUUGACACUAUUGGGAAGACAACAAGGAACACAUUUAUUAUGGCAUAUGCUUUGGUGGACAAGAGCCCACUUCACUGUAUACAGAAAGCAUAAUCUUGAGCUGGCAAGCAUAUGUAUUAUACAUAUAGUGGUGAUAAUGGGAAUUGUUGUUGUCUAUCUCAUGAAAAUGAUAGAAUUGUAGAGUUGGAAGGGACCCAAGGGUCAUCUAGUCCAACCCCUUGAAAUGCAGGAAUCUCAGCUAAAACAUCCAUGGACAUAGCUAGGAUUUUUGUUAGUGGGGGGCAGGACUUUUGUUAGGGCAGAACCAAGAUGAUUGGUCAGUUAGUUAAGUAUUUCUAUUGUUUUACUUGAGGGGGCAGCUCCCCCCUGCUCCCCCCCCGCUACACCCAUGAAAGCAUCCAUGACAAAUGACCAUCCAAGCUUUGCUUAAGAAUCUCCAAGGAAGGAAAGACAACAACCCCCUGCUGUCAAACAGCUCCAUUGUCAAAUGGCUCUUACUAUCAGAAAGUUCUUCCUGAUUUUUAGUCGGAAUCUCCUUUCUUGUAAGACUUAUAAGACUUGGUUGUCAGACCAUCGAUCAUCUUGGUUGCCCUCCUCUGCACAUGUUCCAGCUUGUCAACUGUUCAGUUACAUGCUGUAAGAAUGUAGAGGAAUAGGUUUCGAAAGGGGUGGAGAAAGUGAAAUGAGCAGACAGAGAUGAUUCCUUGAAAAGAAAUUAGUUGCCGUGACCCCACUUAGCAAAGUAGCAAUGGUGGUGACAGAAGCUUCCUGGUAUUGGUAAGAUAAUUAACACAUGUAGCCUAAUAAAAGCAACAACAACAGCAACAACAGCUGUAAUCUUGAUUCAGGCCACAGGUGACACGAUUGAAUUGCUGGAUCAAUUGUAAUUCAGCAGUUUCCCACUGGAGUUUCCUUUCGAAGUACUGUUAAGUGCCUUUGCUCAAGCCUGGCCUCCUUAAGGUCAGCUGCGGAGUGCUCUGGUAGGUUGAAAUGAAUCCCCUUUCUGCUAUCAGACCUGUCCAUUUUUUGCAGAUACUAACCUGCGUCUGUUCCAGGUAGGCUGCAGAAGGGGACUGCUGGCAGAGGGCGGCCUAGCAUAUCACCUUUGAAGAUGAGCAGGCGGAUGAACCCCUGAAGGGGUGGCUGACGCCAGCAAGAGCGCUGGUUGAGCAGAUGGGCAGGCGGCUAGAGUUCGCGUCCUCUGCGCUCUUCCUUAGGUGGUCUCUUGGGCCACAAGAGUUUUUGCUGUCUUGGCUACCACAGACGGCUACUUUUCUGGAAAGUUUAGUUGGAACUUGGAACGCUUAUUUGAGUAACAUGCAGCGACCGCGGGAGAGGAAGGCAGGUUUAAUUUAAUCCAGCCCCAGCCCCCCAGCCCCACCGCCGCAGCCUGAGAGAAGCUCCAUAAUUCCUUGCAGGGAGGCAGGUGGUGGAGUCUGCAAACUGAGAAGAGGGGGAAACCCUGUCCAGUGAGCAAUGAAGUGCGCUAGUUUGGCGCAGGAGUUGGGGUGAGAGCGGAUUAUCCUGAAAUCGGAGUAUCCGCCCUGCCCUCUUAUAAUUCUGUGAGCUGUGCGUUUCUUCAGGCACCCCGCUCCUAUUGCGUGGCUUGCGCGGACACAAACCUGCGUGCAUUCGGUGGAGGUUUCCUCCGAAGUAAGCGCGCGCAGGAGGGCAGCUCCUCUUGGCUCAGGAGCUGGCUGCAACCCGAAGUGCAAGCCUCAAGCCUAAUUACACCCACGCCGCCCCCAGCCACGCGCACCCUCCCUUUAACUUGCGCUGGGCGCCCCCCCCCCCCCCGCUGAGCCGGCCUGUGGCCAGUGGCGGCGUGACGUCAGAGCGGCUGCGAGAGGCCGGGGCUGUUAUAAGGAGGGGCGCGCGAAGCGCCCCGCUUCUCGGCUGCUUCCUCGCCUUCGCCUCGGCAGACGGAGACGCGCGGCCCGGCCAGGAAGGGAGAGCGGGGUGGAGGCCGGCGCGUGCCCGACGGGGCAGAUGAGCCGGGAGGCGGGCUGCGCCGCGGGCUUCGCCGGAGGGCGAGGGGCAUGAGGCAGGGGGCGACAUGACCGUGCCGCUGCUCAAGAUCGGCGCCGUGCUCAGCACCAUGGCCAUGGUCACCAAUUGGAUGUCCCAGACGCUGCCGUCGCUCGUGGGGCUCAACGGCACCAUCUCCCAGGCCGGCACUUCCGAGAGAAGCGUGAGUCCGCCUCUUCUUCGCCUGCCCCACGGCCGCCCCUUCGAGGCUGCCAACGCACGUUUCCCGGGAGCCCGGCGGGCCUCCCUUAGCGCCUUUGCAGCUCCAUAGGGAGGCCGGCUUGGAGGGUUGAGGGUCCCAGUUCAUCUAGUUGCGCAAAGCGGGCGGGGAGGCGGGGCACGGGCACACUGCCAUUCCGGGACUCUCUCACCCCCACCCCGUCCGACGAAGCUUUCGCGAGGGUCCCUCUCCUCCCUCCCGACGAGCUGCGAUAAGCUACAAAGCUGCCAGCUCCGCGCUUGCCCGUCUGUUUGCUCGGCGAUGAGCUUCCAUCCACCGCGAGGAAGGCGCGCGCCGCGGAAGAGCUUUCCAGGCGCCGGGGUCCCCGUUUCUCCCCGGCCCUUGCCAUCCCGCGUUGGGCGUCUACUAGUUUUUCUAGGCCAGCCAUCCCUGCUUCCGAGUGUGCUGACGCGGGGCGUGUGUGUGUGUGUGUGUGUGUGUGUGUGUGUGUAACCCUGGAGAGAGAACUUAUUUACCAGCAGAUUUUUGAGGGGUUGGUGAGUGCCUGGACGGACGCUGUUCAGUCACACCCACACUCCAGCCUUUCCAACGGGUCUUUCGCCGGGUGACCUGGACCUCCUCCCCGCCCUGGCCUCCAGGAUCCCUAUCUGGAUGCCAGUCACCGAUGGGCUCAAGACACCGGACGUUUCCGCGCGGGAGAUUCGGCUCGCGUGGGCGGACUGAAGGGCUCGGGCAGACACCCAGAUUUCCUUGAACGAACGCGCUUUGCAUGAUCCUGCCUAGGGUUGCGUGAUUUCUGCCUUGCGUGCCUUUGCUGCAGCUUGGGCCGCUAGAGUCUUUUAUCCACUCGAGACCGAUCUUCUCCCGCUUUCCGCUCCUCUCAGACCACGGUUGGCUUGCUCUUUCCUCCGCCCCGCAGCUUCUUCAAGUGUUUGAUUAUUCCUCCAGAUCCACCCCACCCCAUCCACGACGCUUCCCACUGACCGUGGGGAGUGGAGGAUGGCAAGGCAAUUUUUCGCCCCCCUUUCAACAGCCCCCCCUCCAGAUCCUGGCUAGAUGACACCUUCUGUGGCUCCUUGGUGUUCCCUGCUCCUUUCUUGAGUGGAAAGGGAGAGCCCCCUUCCCCCUUAGCCAAACUGGGGCUUCGGCAUCGCGGUAGCUGCGACGAAUUUCUCCCUCUGUCCCUCCCAGGCUUGUAGCCUGGCCGCUUUCGGGCGCACCGACGAUCUUCAGCUCGAGAUCGUCCCAGGAUGCCGCCAGCAUCCGCACUUACUCCAAAGGCGCUGUAGCUUCCUUACGUCCACCUUGGGGUUAAUUUGGCUUGAUUACCGUAUUUACGCUAAAUCUGGAGAAAGAAGGACUCUUCUCUCCCCCCCCCCUUUUCUUCCCGCCCCCAUUCCUUUCACGCUUGUCUGAGUAGAUUUCUCUACUACUAGAAAACUUUCCUCCUUUCUUAAAGGAGAAGUGCUUGCUUUGUGUAUGAGUAGGGGAAAGAGUUGGUUCAGAAGAGCCCGUGGGUCGUCGACUCUGCAGGGUUUCUUGGGUAUGUGCGGGAAGAAAAUAUUGGUCCCCCUCUCAAGUUCCUGCGGCGAAGGGGAAUGUUCUUGCAGCUGGGCUGGGACAAUCUUUUCCUUUUCUAAACUACACAGUCAUUUUUAGAAAUCCGUGUGGGGGGGUAUAGGUGUCAGCUUAAAUAGUGUCUAGCAAAUGUGUAGAUACAAAUUCCUGUAUAGAGCAGAUGUUAGUACCGCGGGGUGGGAGGUGGGGAGUAAAUGUCUUAUUCUUUGAUGCGAUCAAGCCUUCCGUUGCCUGGAAUUUUCUGACGCAUUUGAUGGACAGUUCUCCAGGGAAAUUUGUGUUACAAUAAAUGUGCUAGUCUACGCUUCCACAAGACUGUCUGCAUCUGUCUCUGUCUGUCUGUCUCUCCCUCUCUGUGUCUGUGCGCGCGCGCGUGUGCAUGUGUAAAUUUUCCCUAGCUUUGUGUCCCAUUUGCAACCUGGCAGAAAAAUUCUAUGUCCCGAACCUGAAGCUGCCUUUCCCUGGAUAAAUCAGUGCAGUGCUGGAAUGAUCUUGAAAACACAUCUGUUAGUGCAGCCAUACAAAGGGCUUCUUUCAUAUUCAAAAAGGAGCUGUUGAUUGGAGUAACAGGUUUGUUGUCUGGGACUGGGCAGGUUUCUCUGGAGAGAUUAGGGAGUUGAAGGACUGGCACCGAUUAGAAUGACUCCCUCACAGCUCAGCUACUAAUUCAUUGAUAUAGAAUUAUUAGUGGAGCUGGAUCCUGUGCUGAAGUCCCUCUAGUGAUUAUUGCUUAAUGGCACAGCAGGCAAGACCAGUCUGGAAACAUUGAUCAUGGGAUUAUGUGUGUACAUGUGGACUUACUCUUUCCAGAGCUCCAUUAUUUUUUGUUACAGAUUUAUCGGUUUUUAGCAGAGGUGAUAAGUGUGUGAAUGCAGUUGCCCAGCAUGAGAAAAUAAUUACCUGUGAAAAGUAAGUUGUAAAAUGUCCACUUAAUUAAGGAAAAUGUAAUCUUAAUAAGAAGUGGGAUCACAAUUCCUGCUCACUUCUGUGAAAGGGAUGGGUAGGAUUUAGUAGGGCCAGUUGCUCAUGAGUUUUCCACUCGUCCCAAAAUGUAGGGGCUGGGAGAAGGAAGCCCUCCUCCCCGAAAUUGAACAUGUCAGGUAUUAAGACAUGUAUGCAAGGCUGUAGAUGUUGUGAAACAGAAAAGACUCUUUAUUGAGUGUGUGUGGAAUCUGGCAAGUGGCAAAUGAAUGUUUGGGAGCAAGUGAAUGUAGGAAUUUCUGCCAAGGAGAUGCCACCACAACUGCAUUCUAUCUCUGUAGGCUGCAGCUAAUCUACCCACUUAAAAUGUCCAUCUCCUGAUGUUUCCUUCCUGCCUACAUGGAUCUGACUUCAACUAAGUCAGGACUGACAUGUGACAUUCAUGUCCCCCACUUCCAUUGUAAAAUACAGUGGUACCUCGGGUUAAGUACUUAAUUCGUUCCGGAGGUCUGUUCUUAACCUGAAACUGUUCUUAACCUGAAGCACCACUUUAGCUAAUGGGGCUUCCUGCUCAUGCCACACCGCCGGAGCACGAUUUCUGUUCUCAUCCUGAAGCAAAGUUCUUAACCCGAGGUAAUAUUUCUGGGUUAGCGGAGUCUGUAACCUGAAGUGUAUGUAACCUGAAGCGUAUGUAACCCAAGGUACCACUGUACACAUUUGUCAGUUCAAGUAGUGCUGGUUCUUAUUGCUUUGGCACUGCAUCUCUAACCUCACUCUGAUCAAAAUUGUCCUUUGUCUUUCACAUGUGUUUAAUGUGGUUGUAAAACUUCCAUGGUCUUCUAGAAUGUGACGGAUCAAACAAACAAAUAAACAAACCACUGGUGUGUUCUUCUGCAUUUGAUGGAUCUACCAUUCACACACUCACAUAAAUAGUGAGUGAUUCAAAGGUGUUUUCUGUGUUGCAUGUGGAAGUGCUCUGUUUUCAUUCUAGAGCAGCUUCUUAGCUUCUUGCUUACUGAGUAUGGGCAAAAUUGGAACUAUGCUAGGGUGCACUGAAGAAAGAAGGCUCAGUGGUGCUUCUUUGCUAUGGAUCUUUCUUCUCUUGCUGUGGAGCUUCCCCAAGGAGCUGAUCUUGAAAGGGUAUAGAACUGUUCCACCCUCUGCACAAUAGGGCUAGACCACCAUAAUAUAUAUGGGUGGGUUUUUGGGUGUGCUUCAAUGCUCCUUUGCAUUCAGAACUCCUUUUCCAUGGGAGGAAAAAUGGUUCUAGCUUAGACUUCUUCCUCAUACAUUUUGAGGACGGUGAGAGCAUUCAAACAUGAGUUCUCUCGCAGUCUUAGGAGUGAAGUACUGAACCCCAUGAUUUUUUAUUUACAUGAAUUGCUUCUAUAGAUCUUCUGUAGGCAGUUUCCAUAUGCCUUCCCUCAUGACCAUAGUGGUUGGUUAGUUGGAGCCAGGGAUAGGGGAAGUGGUAAAAGUGUAAUCCUAGGGCGUGUGGCAGGGGUGGGGGUGGGGAAGAGGACAAAAAUUCUGAUUUCUGUUAAUGAUGUAAUAUGAAGGCAAGAGAACAGCAGUUAUUCUGUAUCGAUUUAGGAUUGAAUGGUAUCUUUCAUCUCCACUAUUUAUGAUUUAAUAUCAUUUGGUGGCUGACAGCUGACUGUCUGCACUUAUUUAGCUAUGCUUGUAGUGAUACAAGAGUUCUGUGUUUUGCUAGAUCUCUUAUAGCCUGUUCAUGCAUUAAAGCCAUCAUAAUAUCAUUGUCCUAGUGAUGAACUGGUGCAUAUGUCUCAGCCUGUAAUGUUAGGGAGUUGUAGUUGUGAGUGCAAUAAGGUUAAUUUCCAGCUUUCCUUUCAAUCUAACUGAUGACAUCUAUCCCCUGCUAUUGAUGAAAAUAUGGUUCUAAAGGUUUGGUGCUCUUCCCUUGCUGCUGCACCAUUGCAUGCUUAGGGAUUCAGCACUACCAUAAUGUGGACAGUUCUGUUAGACAAUACAGCUCUGUAUGAGUGAAGCUUCCUUUGUUACUGAGAAUGGAAGUGUUGGGAUUUGUUUUCUUGCAAGUAGCCAGGAUGAAAACUAUCUUGUUUGUUUCAAUAUGGUCAGAGGCAGCUACUGAAUCUUUGUCAAUACAUAAAUGUAAUCAUCUGUCUCUUAAUCAAGUAACCAACUGAUUUUUAAGCUUAAUCAAGUUUUUUGUGUUGAUAAGAUUGUGUUCUGAAGUCUACUGUUGAUUAUACUUUGUUGCUUGAAAUUAAUCCUCUUGUCCUGUACAAUUGUAGCUCCUUCCAUGUCUAGGCUUGAUUUUUUUCAGAGGCACCAUCUCAGAGCUACGAGAUGGUGGACUGUGGCAUUGUCCAUUCUCUCUCUCUCUCUCUCUCUCUCUCUCUCUCUCUUUUAAAGAAAGAUGAUAAAAGGAUAGAUGAGCUAAAUAAAAUUAAUGGUCUAGGCAACAGGUCUUAUGAUAACAAAUUAAAAUGCUUGUGUCCCAACAAAGCAAUCAUACAUUCAAUACCAGAAUGUUAAAGCUAAACUGCCAAAAUAUUAUUUUUCAACAUCAACAGUUAGCUUUUAAAAUAAAAUUUAAGCAAGGGGCAUGAAUAGUUUUGAAGGCAAUACAGACCUUGUCACAUCUAUCAGUUCCAAGCAGCUUUUAUUCCUAUGGAUCCCUUUUAAUUUUGAUGGGAAAAAAAUCCCCAGUAAAUGUGCUUGAGAUCACAGCCUUAGAAAUGUUUUUGUUUUUUGUUUUAAUGACAGUUUCAUGUCAUUUUUGAUGAGUAUUAAAGCAUUACUUUCUGGUAGCCAUUCACUGUUAUUUGAAGGGGGGGGGGGAUGAGUUUGGAAUAGCCUGCUUCAGAAUGUUCUCUAAUGAAUUACGAAGUGGGUUUUGAGUGCCUGCCCUGUUGCAGUGAUUCGUGACAGUAUCUGCCAGGAACUAUGUAUGACAUUCUAAGCUGUGCUGUAAUAAGGGUGUGAACCUGCCUCCUGCAAUGAGGAGCUAGUCAUAGCGGCAGGAAGUGGAGAGGUUCUGUAACCCACAUUUGAUGCAUCAAUAUUUUUUUCAGUUAUUUUAAAAUGUUUAUAAAUGUUCCUUGAGAUACUCUGGCAGCAGCUCACUUAUUGUAUGCUAGGGCAGGUGAGUGUGCUGCAUGGAAAAAUAAAAUUUCUCCUCUGAUCCAGCCCAGCAAAGAAGCUUCUUGCUACAGCUCUUUGUGAGCCAUUGCUCUGGCCUUUGCCUGAUACCUGUAUCAGGUGAGAAUGCUUGAUCCAUUUGCCAGUGGUGCUGUCAAGGGUCAGAAGCCAGGGCUUCACUCAGCAGCAUGUGCAGGAGGCUCUCUAAAUGCAGCGUGACUUACCACAUUUGGAAGUGAAGUCAUGAUUGCUGGAACACCACAUAUGUGGUCUAAGGAGCCCCUGCCCCCCAUAAGACUAUGGAAUCCAGUCACUCCUGACGCAGAGACUCAGAUAAAUUUAUUUCCCUUGGAGGAGGAAUGCGCCAGGCAGCAUAGGUUCCUCUUUGGAGGGGUGGUGCUGUAGCUCUUAGGCUUUAAUAGUCUUAAAAGCCAACCUUGCUAUGCUGCUCAUUAUACCCAUAUUAUACCCAGAUAAGUGUGCAAAGGUCUGGAAACGUAGAGAAUUAUCAGGAAAAGAGAUAUUUACAUUUCUCGACUUUUGGCCUGCUAUACAAUACUGGCUUCUAUUACCUGAAAUAUUAACAUGUUCAAGACCGCACAGCGAGCUGAGCUCUGAAUUAUGGUCUAAAUGAUGUUUCUUCCACUUUGGUUCCUGGACCCAUGGUAGCUUUUGUUUUUUUGGAUAGUUUUCCAUUCUUAACCAUCAGGUUGGGCAAUCCCUGUCUACAGUAUGUUCUACCUCUACUGUUGAGGCACUUUGCCACUGAAUACCAGUUAUGAGGAACUGUGAGUGGGGAGAGGGUCUUGCACUCUGGUCCUGCCUGCGGGUUCCCCCUAUAGGCAUUGGGUCGGCCACUGUGAGAACAGGGUGCCAGGUCUGAUGCAGCUGGGGUCUUCUUAUGUCUUAGCCCAGGCUUUGGGGGUGCAGGUACCUAAUCGUAUUGUAUCUGACACGUUAGGGCAGCCUUCACCAGAUGUUUUAGAUAACAACUCCCACCCUAGGCUGUCUGGGUCUGAUGAGAGUUUUAGUCCAAAACAUCUGGAGGGCAUCAGGUUGGUGAAGACUGCUUUAGAGACUGCCAUUAUCAGCAGCCAAACAUUCCAUAUUACUGAAGAGCAGCUGAGUGUCAAGGACCAUAGGAAACAACUGUUACUACAGGAGCCAACUCCUAGGGGCUGAGAGCUCUUCAGUCCCCCAAUAAAAUAUUUCAGGGGGCUGCCCCCGCAAGGUUUAUGGGCAUUGCCAUUCAAAUGGUGUGUGUGCUGUGUCAUGUGACCAAUUAUGUGGGGCAGGGCUCCCCCCCCCCAAUAUUUUGUUCAAGCUGGUACCCCUGAUUGUUACACAGCAUAUCUGCUGCAGGAGCUGAAGCAAAAAUCUGUGUUUCAGAUUUUAGUACUGGCUCAUUCUGAUGAACAUUCAGAUUCAAAUGCGCUUCCUCUGGGCAGCAUCAAAUUCAAACAGAGCUGGAACUACUCUGAAUCUGAAUGAAUUUGAAUUCAGAUGAGUUAACAUGAAUGCCAAUAAACUGCAUUAAUUCCACAGUGAAUUCACUUUAGGCAAUUCAGCUUCCAUUGAUUUUUUUAUUUAUUAAGAAACACAUUUACAUUCAUUUUAAAUUAAUGAUUAUGAAGUGCAGAGUGAGCUAGCUGACUGGAAGGGAAUGGUCAACGCAUCGUAUUGAAGUCAGCUUGAAAGUUUUGGUUUAGAACAAGGGUCGGGAACCUUUUUUGGGCUGAGGGCUGAAUAUUGCUACCUGCUUCUUGGGCAAGAGUCCUAGAGUCACCUUGCUACACCUCAGCCUGUCUGCUUCAAGCCUCUUGCAUACUGAUGAGGCAGUGAUACCCUGCAAAUGGGCAUGGGAAAUGGGGGCUGCAGAGUGGAAGGGCAGCAUGUGUUGGUCUCUUCCAUCAGCACAGAGGACCAAAGACCACUGGGAGGCUACUCUGCCUGUCUCCCAGGAAGAACAUCAUGGCACCUGGGAGGCCAUUCUGGCCCCUUCCAUUGACCAGAAAAGGAGAAGCUGUAGGAAGCUUGAUUUUCCCCCUUGCCUUGCUAGAAAGAAUGCUUUUCUCCAAUUGCUCUAGGAGUGCAGGAGUAAGGGGGAAUGGACUCUCUGCCCCACAUCCAUUGGCCAAUGGAACAAGAGCCACCAAUUGCUAUUGAAGAAAGAACACCAAUAAGAAAAGUUCAGCCUGGCCGUUACAGGACAUAAAUUCUGCUGCUCCAGAGAAGCAGACACGGAGCAAUGGAUCCAAACUACAAGAAAGAAGAUUCCACCUAAACAUUAGGAAGAACUUCCUGACAGUAAGAGCUGUUUGACAGUGGAAUUUGCUGCCAAGGAGUGUGGUGGAGUCUCCUUCUUUGGAGGUCUUUAAGGAGAGGUUUGACAACCAUAUGUCAGGAGUGCUCUGAUGGUGUUUCCUGCUUGGCAGGGGGUUGGGCUCAAUGGCUCUUGUGGUCUCUUCCAACUCUAUGAUUCUAUGAAAUGCCCAUUUCUGUCUUAAUGCUUCAUUCUGGCUGUAAAGAUCUAUCUCCCUCCCCUACCUAUUUCCUUCACUCUUUUCCCAUGUAUGUCUUGCCCCCACUUUGUAAAAACAUUGAUGGCAGGGGGUCCUGUCUUUCCCUUAAGAAAUAAAAAUAAACAUAAACUGAUGAUGUGAGCUGCUUUCAGAGACAAUGAUUGUCUGGAAAGGGGGAUAAAAUAUGCUGUAUAUGUGGGCCGUGCAGAGCCUAGAGAUAUUCAAGAUUGUGCUAUGCUCAACUUCAGUUCAUUUCCAAAGCUAACCCAGAAAUCAGCAGGCUUUGGACUGGCCCUGAAAAUACAAGCUGUGGUUUCAGUCUAGAUUCCUGUGGCCAUAGAACCCCACCCCUCAGUUCUCUUUGUGGGCAUCAAUGGUAGACUUUCAUUAAAGGAGUAAGUAUGAAAUGUUUUGUCAUGUAGGAUGCAGAGGCUAGAAGCCACUGAGCAUAAUGUUGCUGGAGCAAAAACAAAACACACUCUCUGAGUAAACCAGAAGAUUUCCAAUGCUGUUCCUCUGAAUGCAGUCUUGUUUCACACUGAACACACUUUUUAGCUUAUUUUGAACAUCCUUUGAAAGCAUUCUCAAUUAAUAUUAGUUGUUCCCACAUAAUGAUCUGUUUCUUGAAUACACAGCUGUGAAUUUUACAAGCAAGAAAUUAAGUGCAGAAUGUCUUCAAUGUAUUCACGCUGAAGCUGAAUUCACUGUUGAAUGAGCUUGCUUCAAAGCUUUUAGAAAAGUAAUUUGAACUGAAUUAAACUUGCAUCCCAAUUAAUGCUAAACUGAACAUCCCAGGAGAUGAUGGUACCUUAGGGUUAUAUAAGUGAGGUGGUUGAAAGGCAUACCAAGAUAUGGGUGAGCUGUGUUCUUCACCCACAUGUGUCCCAUGCAAAAAUUACAACUUCAUUUAAUCUAAUACAGUACCCUCCCUUGAACUCACUGGGACUAUAUUUGGCUGCUUUUGUUCCAUAGCAGGGAUGGAUUACCUCUUCUGGCCAGAUCUUCACUUUCUUAUCCCUCAAGGGCCAAAUUUGACAGGUAAUGCUAGGUAAUGUUGCACUUUGACACCUCAACUGUUGGGACUUCAAAGGGCAGUGAGGGGCUCUUUGAAAGCCCUUUUGCAAAGAACCCCACACUGCACUUUGGCUUUGCAUGCCUGUUUCCAGUAGGUGAACAGGUGUAUGCAGCCAAACUGAGCUGGAUUGAACCUACUACUCACCAGGUGUUGAGCAGAGGGUUUAAUCUUGCUUGCUGCUGGAGUCUGCCUCACCAGUUCCCUGCAGGGAACGCACUGGCAAAGCAGAUCCCAGCAGGAAUGAAACUCUCCUUCUGUCCAUCAGCUGACAGCACAGAGCCUUGGUCAGCAGAACUAUUAUGACCCAUUAAAGAAGGCAAGUGGGAGAAUUCACGUAGAGGAGAAAAUGGGCUAGCAGUUCCUCUGGUAGCCUUUCCUCCCCUUUUCCCCAUGAUGUCAUGUUGCACAAAAUGAGUCAACCCAUUCAACAGUUUGGUGUGGCUUCUGUUUCGAUUUGCCUGUGACUGAAGCAUACAGUAUAUACAAAUUUCUUUCCUGUCCUCCUGGUGCCUAUGCACUACAAUCCUUUAAUAUCAUAAAACAACUCAUUCAAUAAAAAUGUGGGGUGGGGGGAGAGUGCAACAGAGGCAGGGAUCACAGAUAAACAUAACCUUUGAAACCUAAGGUACCUUUUGUUCUAGUUACUGUUCCUACCCACUUCAUGUGUACAGCUGAAGCAGAUGCUUCCAGCUCUUGACUUCUUCUGUUUGUACAAUUUUCUGUUUCUUAAAAUCAACAGUAUUUCAAAAAGAGGGGUUACUAUAGUUUUUUGUUUUGUUUUUUACAUUUCGGUCUCACCCUUUCCCCCCAAGGACCUCAGGGCAGCAUACAUGCCCCAUCCCCAUUUUAUCCUCGCAACAAUCAGUAGUGGCUGGUGAGGUGCAGCCCUGGUGCUUACUGAGAAGGAGGGGGAAAGGGCAAGGCACGUGAAGUGUGGCUGGGUGGUGCACGGCAGCAGAAGUGUCAGAUUGGACACUCUGCCAUGCACCACACUGAGCCAAGCUCCUUGCAUCUCAUUCUUUCCUGCUGGCUCUCAGUAAUCGCCAGCAGCCCACUGUGUGGAGAGACAGCCUGGAGAGCAACAGUGUCCUACCUAUAACGUCUCCCCAGCUACUACUGUUCAGAACCCUGUAAGGUUGAUUAGGCUGAGAGAUAAUGGUCCAAGGUCACUAAAAGAGCUUUAUAGGCACAAAGGAAGUUAAAACUGGGUAUCCCUGAUUCUUUUCCAACACAACUGCACCAUGCUGACCUUAUGUUUAUCAUUUUUUUAGAGCAGCUUACCUCAUUCUGGAUACUGAGAAGCUGCUACAUUUUCUGGAACUUUGCAAACCUUCCCACUACUGAGGAUUCUGCCUCUAAAACAAUUAGAUCUUUUGUUAAGCAAGCAUGUGCUGGUGAUUUCUUAAGUCAUUUUAUUGAGACCACAUGCUUUCCAUUUUAAUAGCACCUUUCACAGCUGCAGAGAGACUGGCUGAGCUCCAUACCCUGUGGGAAAGUACUUGACAUGUGCAGAAUUACAGGCCUCUUUCCUCCUCACCUUCCUCUACUAGUCUGAUGCUGAAGCAGGCUGAAGAUCAAGCAGCCAUUCUUUCUCCUGACUGCUACAUCACUGUUGGAGAAACCCAACUUUCAUUUUUCCCAGGCCACCAGGCAUUUUAUCAGUUUAGUCAGUCAAACACUAACCCCACCACCACUUUUAUUGUGUGGUGGUUCUCUCAGAUCGGGGGGGGGGGGGAGGCUUUGACUCCUUGUUGAGAAGGGCUUUGUAAAGUUGACCAGACCCUGUCCUUGUUGGGUGAGGAAGACAAACAUGUUCUUCAUGCAAAGUGGAAUUACAUGGGUGAUGUGGACAGGACAGCAGUUGGACCAGCACAAGUCUUUAGUAGUCAACUAUGAUUUAUGAGAUGGAAAAACUGUCUGUGGACAAACAUCAGCUCCCUCGGCCAGUAAAGUGAGAUGAGUGCCACAACCCCAGAGUUGUUUGCAACUGGACUUAACUGUCAGGGGUCCUUUACCUUUACCUUUUUUAUCAAUAAGUGACCCAAGAAGCAUAGGGCAGAAAAGGCAUUUUAAAAACCAUUUUUAAGAAAAGAUUGACUGAAAAGGAUGAUUUUAAAACAGUCUGCUUAGUGGACAUGCUCCCCAAACCAUCACACUGUUGGGAAGCCAGUAUUGAAGUUUAGGAGCCACCAAAGAGGCACAUUGGACAGUGACCACCAGCUGAAUAGAUUGUGUAAUUGCCAAGUUAUUAAAGUUCAGUAAAGAAUAUGUGGAAGGAGACAUUCUCCCAGAUACCCAGAGCCCAGACCAAAGGAACUUUUAAAGAUAAACACCAGCACCUUGAAUAUAGCCUGGAAACAAAAUCAGCAACCGUUAGACACAAUAAAUAAUAGAUGUUAUAUACUCAUGGAAGUACUGAUACACAGCUCAAGUAUGGCUCAAAAUGGCUCAAGUAAGUCUCCAUGUCAUUUAAAGUAUAUUCUCAUCCUCUUAUUUGACAACCACCCACAAUCUGAAGCAACCUCACCUUUAAUCUGGCAACUAUCAACCCACCAUGCUAAGUGGGAGACUAUGAGUGGGAGAGGUCCCUCUUCAUGUUAAAUAUGAGAGACCAAGCCCUUUCUUUCAUAGUUCUGCCUGUGCCAGAAGAUUUGACAGCAUGGUGGUCUUAUCUCAGUUUGCAUCAGGCAUUGCUCAAAAGUCAGAAGCAGUGAGAGACUUGGUUAAGCUAACAUAUUGUGAGGCCCCCUGCCACCUCCUAUUUGUUAUGUAUCUGUGCCUGAGGGAAUAUUGUAGGUCCAUGGCAAAUAUAAAUCAUAAAGGUAAAGUGACCCCUGACCAUUAGAUCCAGUCGUGACUGACUCUGGGGUUGUGGCACUCAUCUUGCUUUAUUGGUCGAGGGAGCCGGCGUACAGCUUCCGGGUCAUGUGGCCAGCAUGACUAAGCCACUUCUGGCGAACCAGAGCAGUGCAAGGAAACGCCAUUUAACUUCCCGCUGGAGCGAUACCAAUUUAUCUACUUGCACUUUGACAUGCUUUCAAACUGCUAGGUUGGCAGGAGCUGGGACCGAGCAACGGGAGCUCACCCCAUUGCAAGGAUUCGAACCGCCGACCUACCGAUUGGCAAGCCCUAGGCUCAGUGGUUUGGACCACAGUGCCACUCACUGUGAUUUAUUAUUGAUAAUUAAGUUUAAAAAUAUAACACAAAUAAACUAAUUCACAAGGGAGAGAUUGGCUCUAAUUAUGGUUGGGGAACUUUACCCCCUGACUGAUGUGUAAUAACAACUGACCCAAAUGCAUCUUAGGGGAAAGGGUCCCUAAUGUGGAAAUGUCAUUUCUAGGAAGGCAAGGGUUUAGAUAUCUCCUUUUAGAAACAGUUGAGCUCUUUCCACUUGUCCCAUGCAAGAAGCAUCUUCUGUUGUUUUCUCUUUCCAAGGAGCACCUGGCCCCUUGCUGUAGCUCUCUUGCAAGUAAGAUAGCCCUUCCUCUUUGGGCAGUCCACAACUGGCACAUGAGUCUGGCUGCUACAAAGCAUUGUUUUCUUUUUCAUUUGGAUUUCUCCACCUUCACUUCCAUCCAUCAGUUCCCCACUGCCCCUCCCCAAGACAGCUUGUUCGCUUUUCCUGCCAAAAGUUUUAUUAGUGCAUCUGGUUUCAGCCAGCCCAUAAAUGCCCCCAGCAGCAAAAUUUCCCUUCCGCUUUAAGAAUUUACACUGCCAACCCAUGCCAGCUCUGUGAGAACAGCUGCACAUUAAAGCUAUAAAAAGCCUCUGUGCCGUCGUCUUCCCUAAUGGAUCUACCCUCCUAAACACUGAGUUACAUGCUGCGUGUUGCACCCAAAUUUAAAAUAAAGCCACCACACCAGCCACUGGAGCGUGAGAUGAAAUGUUUUGAUAAAGCCAGAAAGGGCUGCUAAUGGAUCACAGUUGGAGCAGCACCUUGGAUAGGGGCAGUGGGCUUAAGUUUGAUCUGAAGGUCUAUGCGAUAGCAUGGCAGUUAAUCAGCGUCAGGUAAAUGUUGGUUUUCUGUGUAGAGAUCUCAUUUCUCUGGAGGGUUGAAUAAUAAUAAUAAUAACAAAAAUAAAUAAAUAAAUAAAUAAAUAAAUAAAUAAAUAAAUAACAAUAAUUUAUUUGUACCCUGCUCAUCUGACUGGGUUGCUCCAGCAACUCUGGGUGGCCUCCAACACAUAUAAACAUAAUAAAGCAUUAAAUUUGAACUUAGGGACUGCAGGGUUGUGGUCUGCAAUGCAGUCUUGCACCCAAUCUUUUCUAUAGCAUUCAAGGGGCAGUAAGAUUGUGAGACAACAUGACACUUCUGUAGCAACGUUGUGGUUCAAAGUGACUUUUAGUGGGGUGAACGGUGGGGGGAACUGAGGGCGAGUGAUAGAGCAGCGCUUUACUUUCUAGUUUUUCCUGGCUCAACAAUCUUAUCUCGACUAACAUACUUCCCUUGGCUGCAGUAGUAGUUUUGAGGGCACAGACGACCUGCAUUUGGUGUAUGAGUUGCAUCAACCCAGAUGGGAAAUUGCAUUGGUUUGGAGAGGGCCAAACCUCUCUCUGCAACAUUUUUGAGUUUAAGAAAAGCAAAAUGAAAUGGCUGGCCAGAAAUGCAUUCCAUGUUCCUUUUGAAUAACUAUCAUAUUCAAGAACUCAAGGUGUGGGUUACAGUGUCUUAUUUUACUCCUAACCCUAUGAGAUACUGGGCUGCCAGCCAGAGAUCCUUUUGAUUGCCCUGCUCCUCUAUGAGUACCAGACAGCCAAGCCAGUUGCAGCAAGGUAAUUCUUGGCUGCUACUGCUGCCACCACAGAAUCUCUAGGUGUAGUGAUUGCUAACUGGCAGUCCAAGGGCAGAAUCUUGCUGCCAAAGCAACAGUGGACUUAACAGUACCCUUCUCCAAUCUUGUGUCUUCCCAGUGUUUUGGACUACAACUCUUCAUCAACCUGAGCCAGCAUGGCUAAUGCUUGGGGAGAAUGGUAGACUGCUUACCAUUAGAUUCUAAUGGAUUGUUGAAUAUUGCUUUAUUUGAUAUAAGUUGUUUAUUGUAAAGUUAUUGUGACUAUUAAUGUUAUUGUUGCUAUUCAUGUUUGAUGUUUUAUUAUGUUUUUAUAUGUGUUGGAAGCUACCCAGAGUGGCUGGGGCAACCCAGCCAGAUGGACAGGGUAUAAAUAAAUUGUUGUUGUUGUUUGGAGGGCAGCAAGAUAGAGAAGGCUGGGACAGGUGCACUGUUGCUUGGGUGGCUGAAUUCUGCUAUUGGGCUGUUGGUUUGCCAUCUUGUACACUUUAAUUAGGGUAUGGUGGCAAACAGAGGCAAAGAGAAAAAGAAUGGAUGAGACUGUAUUUCAUUUAUUAGGCUCUUAAUGUUUUUGUUUCUGGGGUACUCAGUGGUACUCAGUACCAGCACCCACCAUGUUAAAAGUGUGGGACUUACUGUAACAACUUCAUGGUGAGGUUCCAAGCAUGUGAAUUUCAAACUUAGGUGGCCCUUACAGCUAGGUAAUGCUGACCUCAUAAAGCCUGUCUACCCAUUGGGAAUCUUCAAGUCUCUCAACUAUUGUGUGGAAAAUAGGAUAGCCCGUCAGUGUGCAUAAACUGGCUAUUCUUCAUUCAAUUUAUUACAAUAUGGAUGCUGAAAGGAACAGCAAGCUUAGGAAAAUGUAGGGCUGGUAAUGCAGACUGCAGCUACACAGAGUAUAAGUGAGAUCAUCUGCAGUUCAGAAACAGUAUAGUUAUGUUUCUUUAAAAUACAUUUGAAAAUUUGAAAAGGUCCCUAUAAGUUACUGAGAUGAUGAAUAUGGCAAUCUAUCUUGACUUGUGCAUAAAAAGUAGAAAUAAUUGAAUUGAAUUAGUUCUGAGUUUCUCAAACUUGUUCUUGAUUACCUUUUAUUAAGGAAAGCAUUUUUGGAACUCUUUAUCCAGUGCAAACUAUUCAAAACAUUUUAUAGGUCACAUUGCAUGAGGUUUGAUCAAGCAGUACUGAUCCCCCACCUGAGCCAUUAUAAUGGAUGUACUCACAUCAAAUGGCAUUGCAGCUGAUUUUUGCAGUUUUAGUUGGCCAUGAUGAUGGGGGCAAUUAGGUGUGGUUUGGGGUUAUUGUAAAUGAAACACAGCCCUGCAGUCUACUACGCACCUACUCACCUAGGGUGAGAAGCUUCAUGCCCAUUUAAAGAAGAGAGUAUUGAAUGCCCAGGAAAUCCCAGGAAUGCAAAUGUGGAAGGGAGGAUUGCCCAUAGUCCAGUUUCCAAAAAUAUGCUUAAAUUAUAGCUUUUGGAUUUCUGAUGAAGGCCUGGUAACUACUGCAUAGGAGCCUAAGAGGAGCCCCGCUGAAUUAGAUCAAGGGCCCAUCUAGUCCACCGCUAGGGUGAGAUGACUGCAGGGUUCUCUACUUGGGACUGCUCUUAGUUUUUUAGCAGCUGGACUAGACUGUGCAGCUAAAAUAUUUAGUGACAUGUUUCAUAUUAUUCAGUGCUAUAAGCAAAGGGAAAGAGUUAACCAGAUGUACCACCUCUAAACCCCUGGGGAGAGGGGCAGGAAGCACCUACACAGGUUAACACAAAUAGGAGAUCUUAAUAUUUUCUCUCUCCCUCUCCCUCUAGCCACAUAAUUUCCUGGAACUGUCGCCUGCAAUCUCUGCAAAUGCUUCAGCCAGCAUAAAAGAGUAACUAAUCAAGCAGCUAAUGCACAUCCGAGUGCCAAUUGUGGGCCGGUGAAUGGGAGUGGGUAAUCACUCCAAUUGGAUCAGGCAUUCUUUGCUGUCAACAAAGACCACACAGGGAUUAAUCCCCUAGAAUUGGUCUGACCACAUUUUGGCCUUGUAUACAUACAGUUCUGAGCUGGAGGCAGUGGGCUGCCCUGGGAUCCUCUCCCACUGGUCCUACUUAAUCUCAGGCUCACCCUCCCAAUAGAAUCUUCGGUGAGGCUGGAAAGCUGGAAAGUGAAAGCAGCCAACCAAACCGCAACUAUUUUUCCUUUUGAAUUUUGCAUGCGGGAGAGAAAUAAGUGUUUCCAUGGUUACUUGUUGUGGAGAAGAGGGCCAUUCCCUCCCAUCCUAACAAUAGAAAAAGUUCAAACAACUUGAGUGCUAAAGUAGCUGAUUUGUCAUUGGAUCCACAGUGUGUGGUGUGAUGGAUGUUAACAGCUACGCAUCUUCCAGAAAAGCUCUCCAUCCUUCAAUGUAUGGAAACUUUCAGCAAAGCAUCCUUAAUUAGUAGCUGUUAAUAGGGUCUGUUAUCCUCUCCUCCGCUGCCCGUGAUUACCCAAGACAAAUUAAUGUGCUCUUAAAGUACUUAGCACUGAUGUAUUUAAUUCUGUUUGUUGUACUUGGUCACAGUUGGUGAUGCUCACUUACAAUUCGCUGUGAGUUUAGCAUCUGAAGUGGACGUGGAUCUCCAAGGAAGGUGUUAUGUGUAGAAAGAGGAAUUCUGGCGUAUGAUGGACCUCAGUUAUUGAGAGGACUGCUCCAUUAAUCAUACCAAGCAACUCUGGCUCUGAGAGCUGUUCAGAGCAUCUGCUGAUCAGGACUGGAGACAAGAAUGUAAGCCAAGUAGGGCCACAAAUCUAGGGAACACAGCAGCUGCCUCUCGGGAAGAGGGAGCCAAUGUGAGGGCAGUGUUGGUGAGCAGUGAAUGUGUGAUAGGGAUGUGGAAUCAGAGGACAAGAUAUCAGUUGGAAAAGGCAGCCACCACAGCAGCAGCAGUAGCAGCAGCAGUAGUUGUAGUAGUAGCAUGUCAUGAACACGACAGCCCAAAACCGAGAAGGGCAGCCUGAGUUAGAAGGCAGGCAGGCAGAAGGAGAACAGGGAGACUUGAGGAUUCCUCAGACAGCUGGAAGCAGUGGGCUGAUGCCUCCUCCCUCUGUAGCUGGCAGGAAUGUGGUUUAUCAACACAGGAAAAGUGGGCUGGAUAGGAGCCAGCUCUCUGAGGAAUUACAGUCACUCACGGCACAAGAGAGGGAGAGAAUUUCCUCGAUGGGAGGUAGCUGACCCCGUCAGUCCCAGAACUAGACGAAUGGGAAAAGUCCGAGACAGACGACGACCCCAGAAACGUAAGGGUAGGAGGUUCAGGAUAUUCUGCAAUAGCCGGAAGUAUUCUUCAGAAGAGUCAAAAUGAUUGUGAUAGAUGGUCGCUCGGAGAGAGCGAUUGGAGGCUAAUUGCUUGUAUGCAAUAAAUCUUCUGUUAAUUACCUCUUGCAUCCCGACAUACUAAUAGUAGUAGUAGUAAUUAAUAAUUGUAUGAUUUGUAUGCCAUCCAUCUGUCUGGGUUGCCCUGGCCACUCUGGGCGGCUCCCAACAAAAUAUUAAAAACAUGAUAAAACAUCAAGCAUUAAAAGCAUUAAGUGGACUUUAUUUGAGAAAUUCCACAUUCUACACCAGCCUUUCCGAACCUGUUGGAACUACAAAUCCCAUCACCCACAACCACUGGCAAUGCUGGCUGGAGCUGUUGGAAGCUGGAAUCCAACAACAUCUCGAGGGUACAAUGUUGGGGAAACCUGACUCAUGAUAACCAUUUAAUAUUAUUUGUGUCAAAUGGAUGCUGAAUGACAUUAUUUGAAUAUAGUUUCAUUGCUGCCCAUCAAAGGCAGCAAGAGUAUGUAAGUGGGAACCUGUGGCAUAAGCGAGGCAGAGCAGCUGGAAGGAGUAGUAGAUGCAAACUAAGAAAGGAGAGUUGCCAAUAGUCUCCUGUCCCAGCAAUCCACUUCUUAUUCCCCACACUGCUUUUUCACAGCAAGGCUAUGGGAUGAUGGACUGAAACAUAAGGCCUCUAUUGGGUGAUAUGAAUGGGUUGUCUAGUCCAGUAUCCUAUUUCCAGCUGUGGCAAAUCAUAUGCUUCUGCAAAAAUCACAAACAGGGCACAACAGCAAGAGCAUUGGUUAUUCAGAGGUAUAUUGUCCUUGAGCAUUUAUCUUGGUUAAUAUCUGCUAAGACAAAUUCAUGGAAAAUGGAUCUAAAAAAGGGGGAGCCAACAAGGUGUCCACCAGAUGUGGCCGAACCACACCUCCCAACCUUCCUGACCAAUGGCCACAAUGGCUGGGGCUAAGGAGAGGUAGUCUAAUGUAUUUUUGAGCCAUCAGAGCUAGUGGCUCUCACUGCACCUAAUGGCAGUGAAUUUCAGAGUCAAUAUCAUUGGGUGACACUGACUUCACAUAUUAUGCAUGUGGAGAAGAUGUGAAAAAUGAUCUCACAACACAAUGCAGUGAAUUGUCUGGUAUUAGCAUAAUGCUGAAUUUAUUAAUGUGAGGCAUUUUGGUGGGACUAUUGGAAUGCUGAUUCUCCGUUUAUAUGUUGUUGAUGUGUUCUGAAUGAGUGGUUAAUGCAUUGUUUUGGGAUGUUGCUCUUAUAUCUAAUGUAAUAUAUUUGUUCUUUGAGUUGCAUUGGGCAUGGUUUACCAUGGAGGGUAGCAUGGAUGGUGUUGAUACAUAAUUUUAUAAUCCUCUGCCAUGCCCACCCUGCCAAUCUUUCCCCUCUUUUAAUGAAUAACUGCAGGUGCUUUAGGCUUUCCGCAGUUGAAAUGUGUCCCAAUUGCCACACAAACACACAAUCCAGGCAGCAGUGUGACUAACAUUUUUGGCUUAGGUGAAACUGACUCCUCUUCAGCUGAAUGUGAAUCCUCAUCUCCAGGUAGGGUUUCCUGGCUCCCGCCGUUCCCCAUUAACCGAGCCAUCCAUUAAAUGAGAGUGCUGCUGAUGAUGCCUCUUAGAGCUGCAUUAGCAACAUGCUCCCCUGUUGUGAUUAAUGAUUUUACAGUGACUAAUGAUUAGCCAAUUAUUGUAAAGUGACGCUCGCUUUCCCCUGGGCCGUGCUAAUUAGCUUUGCAGCCCAAGGACCCAAUAAGGGACUUAAAAAAAAAAAAAAGCUCUCCCUAUUGGUGGUACCCCCACCUUUUGGCAAACAUGACAUUGGCAGCAGGAUCCAUCCCAGGAACAGAUGUCAUGAAUUGGUGGCAGAACACAGAAACAACACAUACUCCCUAGCUAGUUUUCUUUCCCUCAGUGGAGAUCUUGCACUCAGCAAACUGAGGACCAUCUUCUUACAUUAGAUGGGAACAGGUUACAUACAGUUUUUGUAGGAAUAGCUGGCUGAGGGGGGAAAUUAGCUGGCUGGUGAAAGGAUGCUCAAAAUGGCAAAGAAGUUCUUGUUCAAGCAUUUGUUCAGUGGAUAAGGAUGAAACACAAUCCUCCAGUGUGGUGUAGUGGUUAAGAGCGGUAGACUUGUAAUCUGGGGGACCGGGUUCUCAUCUCCACUCCUCCACAUGCAGCUGGGCCAGUCACACUUCUUUGAAGUCUUUCAGCCCCACUCACCUCAGAGUGUUUGUUGUGGGGGAGGAAGGGAAAGGAGAAUGUUAGCUGCUUUGAGACGCCUUCAGAUAGUGAUAAAGCGGGAUGUCAAAUCCAAACUCCUCCUCCUCUUCUUCUUCUUCUUCUGAAAUACUGAGGGAGGGAAAUAAAUUUCUCUGUAAUUUUUGGGUGACUGUUGCUGCUUAACUCACUUAGUCUUACGAAGUGGGCAGGUGUGUUCUAGUUUUUCUUACUUUUUAAUGCACAUACUGAAAGAGCCACAAUCCAUGCACAGCCAUGCAAGGCUCUCACCGUAUCUUUCUACUGGUUACAUUUCUUUGACUGCAUUGGUAGCAGUACUGCGCCAUGUUUCAACAUGUAGCUCCCAAGGCAUUUCAGCAAGUGUGGCUGGCAAAAAUUUACACAAGGCUCUCUCUGCUGUACAAAGGUGCCUAACCUGUUGUUCUGCCAAGGGCAGGGUUCUUUCCAGAUCUGGAGCCAAUAAGCACACCAGUGGAUGAAGAAUAAGCAAUGCUUUAUUUGCAUAAGGUUAACAGAUAGCAGCAGGCAUACAAAACACAAAUUACAGCAUACCUGACAAAAGUCACACACAAUCUUCCCUUCAGCUGCCCGGAGCUCCAGUUAGAGCAGCGAGAGAGACCCCAGCCAACAGUCUCACAGCAUCCGGUACCUCGACCUGUGGAGAAGCUCUCUGAGCCCCUUCAGCCUACAGCUCUUAUAGUCAACUUUGAUUGACUUGAUUGACUGCACCUGGUUAGCAAGCAUCACUCAUGAUCAGCCCGGGACAUGGAGUGUGAUUCAACAGGAAUGCGGAGCAGCUGAGAGUCUCCAACCCAAUUCACUGCAACUGGGUAUCCUCCCCACUAGCCAAUUAGCACUUAGAACACAGGAGACCCAGGAAACUCCUGACACAGGUGUGUGGAAAACAAGUUAUACCAGCAUGAAUCAGCAAACUUAAAACUGCAGAUGUUAAGGGAAAGAGACAUGUCAUCUAACUCCUUGAAAUUACAAUGGUCUUCCACAUUUCCCCUACACCUGUGCCCCUCCAAAUGUUGUUGGACUCCAGCUCCCAUCAGUCCCAGCCAGCAAGGGAUAAUGGGAGUUGGAGUCCAGCAACAUCUAGAGGGCUAUAGCUUAACAACUUCUUCUCUACAGCUUUGAACCACUAAGGUAAGCACAACCACCUAAAAAGAAAUGCUGAAGAAAUUUCUCCCACCCCAAGAAGGCAUAAGGAAAUUCACCCUUGUUUUCACACAGGGAGUGGGGUGGGAAUUUUGGUCCAGCCUUGAGGUGAAGAGUGAUGAAUCUCCUCCUUACCUACCAUUUUCUCCCUGCUGAUGCUUCUACCUUCCCUCAAAAGCAUUAGGAGGCCACCUUGUAAGGUCUGGUCCCUGCCAUUAGUGGAGCUUCUAUCCAGGUAAUUCACAAGAUUGCAGACUGGAUGUUGGCACUAGCAGUUGGGAUACCAGGAUGUGAAGCUUCAGGGGGUUGGUGGCUGAUCCAAGAAGAAAGAAGAGAUGCUAACCAGCAGCCUGAUGCCCUGUGAACAGCAAUCACUGUGUGCAUAUUUAUGCAUAUGAGCAUACAUGUGAUGAGCUGAGUAAACAACUCAGGCAAAUGUCAGCCCGUGUCUCUUUCCCAAAGCUUCAUUUAAAUUAGCCACCAACCGGGGCUAGGUUGUUUAUUUGAGAUUCUCCAGCUGCUGAAAUAUGUGUAAGGAAGGGACUAUUGCUGUGUCUUGCCCAUAUAUAUAUUUAGAUGUUUGUGGUUUGAUAUUUUAAUGAUCUAUGUUCAAGAUGUUCAGUGAAUAAGCUGUGGCCACAAAAGAAUAGUCCAGUGAAGGGGUCAAUUCUGAAAACUUGGACAGAACUAAACAUUGCAAGAUACCUAUAGCUGCCACCAUAGAAGCCAACUCUUAGAGGCCAAAGUCCCUUCAGACCCCCUGCCCAAUGAAAUAUUUGAGGGGGCUGGGCCCUCCAAAGUUGAUGGGCAUUGCCAUUCAAAUGGUGUGUGUGUGCAAGGUGUCUUGUGAUUGAUUAUGUGGGGUGGGGCUUACCUGCUCCCUAUUUUAUUCAAGUUGGCACCCCUGGCUGUCACAAAUCUUCUCCCCUCUUUUUGGGCGGGAGUGGGUGACAUUAGUGAAACUACCACAGACUCUUCAAGUGUCUCUAUUUUCCAGGGGUGUCCCUGAUUUAAAGAAGCAAUCCCAGUUUCUGAUUUGAUCCCAGAAUGCUCCACUUUUCCUUGGGAUGUCCCUAUUUUCCUUGGAGAAAUGUUGGAAGAGUAUGGAGUUAUCCAAACCCCGAGCUGUCUGAAGGCAUUCCUGUAUAGGGAAGGGUUUUUUUAAUGUUUGAUUUUUUAAAAAUGUUUUUAUAUAUGUUUGAAGCUGCCUAGAGUACCUGGGGCAACCCAGUAAGAUGUGUGGGGUAUAAAUAGCAAAAUUAUCAUUGAUGGAAUUGUACGUCCCUAUUUUCAUCAGAGAAAUGUUGGAGGGUAUGCUGUCAGUGGUGUGAGGUGGGUUGGGUGUGGGAGUGGGAGACACAUAGUAACCUCAUUUCAUAUCAUAUAAUACUUGUCCUGAGAAUCCUAGAUGUUUUACCAGGGAGGGGAGAGAAAGAAACAAUGAAUGGUGGCAGCUCCACAUCUCUCUAACAAUAACUGAGACCACCCAUAGCUCCUCUGAGGUUUUGAAAGGUUUAGCGGAGAGUAUUUAGUACACCUUCCUGAGUCCCUGAAUGAUGAGUGUUUUACUCAUUUCUGAGAGCUCUGACAGUUCUUCGGCUGGGGUGUUGUUUAGGGGUUUUGUUGCGGUUGGGCUGUUGUUGUUAAUUUCUUGUAUCUUUAUUUUGGAUCUUAAGAUUUAUGUGGAAAUUGUUUGGUUUGGUUGUGUACUUUUUGAAGUUUUGUUUAUUGUUUGUGACUUGUUAUGUUUGUAGUUGUGUAAUUUUUUAUAUGUUGAGCAUGUUUUUAACUUUGGAAAGGCAGCAUACAAAUAAAAUGAUUGAUUGAUUGAUUGGAUUGCGCUUACUCCAAACCAAGAAGGUAUGAAGCUGCUUCAGGGGCCAGAUCCAGCCCAUCAGCUAUCUUUUUAGCACCCAUGCUGUAGACCCAACUAACCUCAUGAAAGAUGCCUAGGCUGUAGAGGACACACAGAAGACCCAUGUUAUUUCAAACAUGUUAUUUCAUAGAAGACACAUGUUAUUUUAAACUGAAUUGUUGGAGGGCAAAGUUAAAUUGCUAUCAAAGAUGUAUAAUCUGUUGUUGGAAUGGUAUACAAAAGAUGAAGGGACUAAAUAAGUUAUGAUAAAAUGGGCUAUUAAUUUUGGGUAUAAUAUUGAGUUUGAAUCUUGGUCAAAAUUGUGAAAUUGUGGAAUGAAAUUGUAAACUUUAAGCUUGCACGGCCUUAAAAGAGAAUGUAAUGAAAAUUAUGUAUAGGUGGUAUUUAACACCAGUGAAGUUGGCCAAAAUGCAUAGGAUGAGGAACAAAUUAUGUUGGAAAUGUAAAGAAAAAGACGGAGAUUUUUACCAUAUGUGGUGGGCUUGUGAUAAAGUAAAAGCAUUCUGGGAAUUGAUCUAUAAUUGAUCUAUUAAAAAAGAUGUUUAGAUAUACCUUCCCCAAAAAGCCAGAAGCAUUUUUGCUGAGUUUGAUGGGAUAGGAAAUUGCUAAUGUAGAUCAAAAGACUAUUUAUGUACGCCACGACGGCAGCAAGAACUUUAUUAGCUCAAAAGUGGAAAGUGCAGGAAUUGCCAACGAUUGAGGAGCGGCAGACAAAGAUGAUGGACUAUGCAGAAUUAGCCAAGCUGACCAGUAGAAUCCGGAACCAAGACGACCAAAAGUUUCAAAGAGACUGGAGUAAAUUAUUUGGGUAUAUGAACAAUUAUUGUAAAAAUGUGAAGACACUAGCGGGAUUGAAAUAAAUCCUGCAACGAAAUUUAAAACAUUUUAUAACUUUCUAGACCAAAGAGACAGAGUCAUGAAGGACAUGAAGGUCAGAAGUGGAGAUUUUAAAGUGCAAUGUAAAGACUUGAAAACAAAAAAACCAGUUGAAGGGAUGGAGGGAAGUCACAAGCUCAGCAGAGCAAAGGGUAUUUUUAUUUGCUAUUGUAAUGUUGGAAAUAUUGUGUUAAAAAAGAAAUUAAUAAAAAUUAUAUGUAAAAGAAGAAGAAAGAUGCCUAGGCUGUAACAAUGGGAAAGUGGCCCUCUCAGGUAUACUGAACAUUAAGUUUAGAAAGUGGACUUGACUGACACCAUUUACACUCAUUGAGUAACUGAGAUGAUGUUCUGUCAACCAGGCGUCCACCAAUGGACCAGGCAGACACAAUCUGCAAUGGGAUUGUGCAAACUCCCAGACAGAGGUCUCAGGAGGAAUGAGCCACUGUGUUGCACUAAGUAGAGCGUAAUCCAAUCUGUGAGCCGCACGUCUCCCUCCUACACCUCCAUUUAAAUGGGAUUUAAAUGGGAGCUUACAAGGGAGCUCUUUGCUAAUGAAAGGGGGAAUUAACAAUUCUUCCUCAAUGCUCCAUUGAUUUCCCCCCACUGUUCAGAGCUAGUAUCCUUUAUGGAAACUAGUGCUUUAUUUCCUUAGAACUGGUAGUGGCAAAAGACGGAGCCACUAUUUCUGGUGGCUGGCAGGGGAAGGAGAAUCUAUGCCUGGGGACAUCUGGCUAAACAGCAUCAGCAAAGCAAAAGGAUCUCUGGGAAAGGGGGGGGGAUGUUGAAUAUAUAAUCUCCACAUGGUAAGCCAGUGGCUGGGAAUGUAUUGUCCCUACAUGCCCUUCCUGUGAAGAUUAAUAGCUGCCUUCAAAACAGCUGCUGGUAUUAGUGAUGAAAGAUUGGGUUGCUCACUGGUAGAGUUCUGAUGCUCUAACCUGAGAUGGGGUAGUGGUGGCUUUCCAAAUGUUGAGAGACUGCAAGCUCCCAUCGUGAUUGAUGCUUGGUCAUGCUGACUAGGACUGAUGGGAGUUGGAAUCAUAGAACUGGAAGGAACCACAAGAGUCAACUAGUCCAACUAGUGGCGGAGCUCCAUGCUCUGGCACCAGGGGUGGAAAGUAGGCAGGGGUGUGGCUGGUGCGCAUCCCGGGGGCAUGGCAGGCAUCCUGGGGGCAUGGUGCACAUCCUGGGGGUGUGAUGUGCCGCCUGUGGGGGCGUGGCACCGCAAUGGCACCCCACUGGGAUUGUGGUGCUGGGGGUGGUGCGCUCCCCCUGCCCCCCUCUUCCUCCGCCAGUAAGUCAAACCCUCAAUGCAGCAAUUUUUUGCCCAACACGGGGCUCAAAUCCACAACCUCUCAUGUUCUACCAACUGAGCUAUGCCAGGAUUGGGGUUUGAGUCUAACUGCAUAUGGAGUGAGGCUUGAAAAGGGACCCCAUGUUCACUGACAUCUGAGUUUCCAGCUUGCUUUUUAAGUGUGAAAUCUGCAAGGCUGGCUAUAUGCAGUAAAUCCUUGGUGGUCUCAAAAAAUUUAGCAUCCUGAAAAACUUUGGGCAGAAUGGAGGCACUAUGGAGACUCAGUAUGGAAGGAUGUGCCAGUGUCCGUUCUCCAAGUUUCUUAUUGUUCCAGUCUUUUGGGAACACAGGAAGCAGGCUUAUACUGAGCCAGACUAUUGCUCCAUCUAGGUCAGCACUGUCUAAAACUGGAUGGUAGCAGCUCUCUAGGGUUUCAGGCAGGAAGCUCUCCCAACCCUUCCCAGAGAUGCUGGGGAUUGAGCCUGGGACAUUCUGUUGGCAAGGCAGGUGCUGUGCCACUGAGCUAUGGCCCUUCCCCAAAUUCACCUCUCCACAGCUCUGUAGCAAUUUGUGAUUAAAUAAUAAUAAUCAUGAAAAUUAUUCGGUAUUUUGUCAACACAUUUUUGUACACAUUUUUGACAAAUGUACACAUACUUGCAAACAACUGUCCCAAGACCUCCAGGUAUAGGGCGGUAUAGAAAUUCAAUAAUAAAUAAUAAAUAAAUAAACAACCUCUCCUGAUACAAUGCAUUUUAAUGUUAUUUUCAGUGGUAUAUUCAUUUGUUUGCCCAUUUCCCUGUAAAAUUAAUGCAUUUUUGUGAACAUUGGUUGCAGAACUGCAUCCCAGCAUUUACAUAAGAGAUGGCUGUGUUUCUUGUAUUGUUUCAGAAAGUGCAGAGUUGAUAGAUUUAGCUUGGAAUGUGAACUGAAUCAUAUUUCUCCCCCAUUCCUUAUGGAGUUACAGGCAUUUUGCCAAAAGUGGCAUCCCUCUGUUCAGUUCUCAGUGGGGCUCCCCUGUAAUGAGUGUCCUCUCUCGACUUCAUAUGAGUGUAUGUUUUGCCCCAUUCUGUUCCACUGGGUGGUGAAGAUGGGGAAACUCGUCCUGCUACACUGCAAAAGUGCUCAUGCACAUUGGGGGGGGGGGAUGCAGUAGCCACAGAAGUACAGUUUGCUGGAAGCUGUCCCAUGUCGUCUGCAGUGUGUGGUCCCUUCUACUUUCUCCUGGUCCUUUUGGCCACUCAGAGAUGACACCAGACUGCAGGCCUCUUAGUCUCCUGUCUUUCUCUGCCCUGCUCUGUUUCUGGUGGUGGUGGUAGUAGCAGCUUUCUCUCCAUGGGAAAUCUGGUAGGGUCAGUUUGCACUGCUGAAUUUCUUCCUGCCGUUAUGUGCCCUGGUACAUGUCGGUGAAGAGAGAGGUUAAUGUGUACCAGACUGUGUGUGCAGAGAGCCAGAAGCUAUCUCCAGGCUCACUCCCACCCCAGCAGCUGUGCUCAGAGAAAUGGCUGCCAGCUCACAGCGGGUGCAGGGAAGUGCAUUACUCAUCUUUCAAUGUGUUAGUUGCCUUGCAUCUGGUGAAAUUAAGCCGCUUGAGGCAGCCCCAAGUCCUAAUACCCACGUGAGGCUUUUGCUCUUCUCCCACCCCCAUGUAUCCUCCACUUGAUUCUUUACUCAACAGUUACAUUUUUUUUAAAAAAAAGAACACUCAGUUCUCACACUCACAUGUGUUCAUUCCCCUAUGUGACUGAAGUCCCACAAAGCCAGCUGUUCACUACCAUCCUAAAGAGUUAUUUCAAAUACUAUGCCAAGGCUUGGCGUGACCCUCGAGAUGCUGUUAAGCCUCCAACUUUCAACAGCUCUAGCCUUUAUAGCCAACAGUUGGGGAUGAUGGGUGUUGUAAUCCAGCAAUCUGAGGAUAGCUACUGAUUUCCCAUCCCUGCGCUACCCAGAGGGAGAUCCAUGAUUGCUGCACUGUUCAUGCGCCACAGCCAGUUGAGGUUUGCCUGAUGAGUGGGACCUGUGAAGCCUUUGUCAUAUUUAUAAUUUUAGGUAUGUGCUUAAUGCUUUUGCUUCUUUUGUGUGUGCACCAACAGAUGUGAUGGAUGAAGUGGCUCUAACUCAGCCCUGUGUCAAAUGCACGCCUAUGGAAAGGACCAUUUCCCUUCUACUUGAGUUUUUGGGAUUUAGAAAGGUGCAUCUUCCCCAAGCAAGCUGCUAAGUCUGGGGAGGGAAAACCUGUGGUGUUCCAGAUGUUUGCGGACUCCAACUCUGAUCAUCCCCACCCAGCCUGGCUGAUGUCCAGGGACAGGAAUAUGUGAAGAUGCCUGAGACUGAGUCAGACUGUCUAGCUCUCGGGAUAUUCCACACUAACAGAGAGCAGCUCUUCAAGGUUUCAGACAGGGUUCUCUCCCAACCCUCACCGACCAGGGUAGAAUUAUUGUUCAGUAAAAAAAAAGAGGCUGGAUAGAUGGUUUAUUGAGACAAGGUUAAAACCCUCCAGCUUUUAAAUGGUGAGGCACAAUGAGCCCAAUUUGUAGAACUGGAGAGAAAAUAAAACAUGCUAGAAUGUGGCAAAAGUGGUCUGAAAACAGCAUCCUCUGCUCUCAAAACAAUUGCCUGAUAAUGCAGCAAAUUGUCAUUCAAACCACUUCCACUAUCAUUUAGAAUGGGGAUGGGUAGCCUGUGGUCCUCCAGCUGUUGUUGGACUUGAACUUCCAUGAGAUAUAGCCAGCAUGCCUAGUGGUCAGAGAUGAGGGGAGAAGGAACAACACCUAGAAGACACCACAUUGGCUUCUUCUGCUUUAGAAUGUCUUCUGGUUUCCACCCAAAGAGAAUUUGCUAACACUGUGAAGAGGGUGGAGGAGAAGGCAAAUUACCAAAGAGGAGAAGUGGUUGUCAUAAUUUUAAAAAAGGAUAAAUACCUUUCAGGGGUCGUUUAAGCUUAAUUGACCCUGCUUAUAGGGAGAGCAGUUUGGCCUGUGAAUUUACUACCCAGCUUUGAAAUUCACUUUGUAUUAAGUAAAAUGGGGCAUUCAGAUAGUGGUUGUUGUUAUUUUUUCCAAGGGAAAGCUGCUGAGGAAAGCAGACAAACAGUAACAGAGAAGGAGAGGUCUCAGCAGGCGCUUGGGAGGGCGUGGGGGCAGCACUUGAUGCCUCAAUCCAUCACCUGGACUGGCGUCAGCGAUUUUCUUUCUUUCUUUCUGUUGCUCCUGAGACUGGAGCUGGCAGCUCCAUCUAAUAACCAGGUGACAGAUAAUACAAGACCCUGUGUGGUGUGUGCUUCAUGUAAUAAUGGAGCUCACAGCCAAGCGGAGUUAGAGGAGGAGGAGGAAAGCUGCUAGGCUAUGCAUUUUUGCUGCGACCCUCUGCAAAAUAAUUCCCUCCCUACCCCUUAAGCUUUCAGGCUUUGACAUAUAUAUCUUCAGUGAACUUACGAGAUCUUCUCCACACUGCGUGGUUACAUAAGAGCCUAAGAAGAGCCUGCUGGAUCAGGCCCAUGGUCCACCUAGUCCAGCUUCCCAUUCUCACAUUGGUCAACCAGAUGUCCCAUGGGGAAACCUGCAAGCAUGAUCUGAGGUCAACAGCACUUGUGAUUCCCAGCAAUUGGUAUGCAGAGGCAUACUGUCUCCAACAGAGAGAGAAAAACAUAGUGAUCUUGGCUAGCAGUUACUUUUAAAGCCAUCCAUCCAAGUUGGUGGCCAUCAUUUGGUAGCAACAGGUUUCCUGCUGAGAUGUAAACUUUUUAAAUCUCCCAAAGAAUCUCCUGUUAAGAAUCUUGAAUGGAGUCUCAUGUCACACAAGUGGCAAAGACAAGAGAGCUCCUGGAGAUCAAAGGCUGUACUGGGUUAAAUAUGUUAUUCCAUCCUUCCCCUUACAUUCCCAGCACCUGCCCCUCUUCCUCAACCUGAGGGUGUGCUUGGAAUGUGAGAGAGGCAAGUGGAUGAUGGGAGAGGGGGUGGCAUGUGAAGAAGAUUGAGGGUUGAUUUGUUACCUGCUGCAGUUGCAGAGGUGUUCAGGUGGUAACACUAUAGACACGGAGCUAUAAGAGGGACAGAGGGACCUUGGCACUGCAGUUGUUGCAGUUCCAGAUGAAGUACGCAAUGCCAGAGUCAGUGAUGUGCUGUGGGAAUGGUUUCUGUUUAUGCAGUUUGCUGAUGUGGACAAGGUGCUGGUGGCAAUCCCUCUGUCCUGCCUGGCUAAUUAAAUCUAGCAGAGGGUUGGGUCCAGAGUGUGACCAGCACUUCAGUGUGCAAGGGGAUGGUUCCUGCUACAUUGAAAUGGGUGUUGGUGUGACCACUUCUAAAGAAAUCAGCCCUGGGUUGGAAUAACUAUAUGCCCACUUUUGGAGGAAGCUGAUGGAAAGAGUUUUGGUGGGGCAGCUGCAAGCAAUCUUGGAUGGCAAGGACUAUUGAUAUCUAUUCCAAUCUGGGUUCCCAUCAGAGGAGGAGAUUGGGAGUAUCCAAAUCUUUGUUUAAACUAGCUGCAGUUUAUUACCUCUGAAUUUAAGAGCUGUGGUUACUUUAAAUUAUGGUUUAUAAGAACAUGUCAGGAUCAGAAAGCAUUGUCUCCUUGGGAUUUGAUUCAAUAAACUGUGGCUUAAAUAACAGUUUGUCCUUAUUAGAUGUAAUGGCAAAGCACUGUUAGGUUGAAACCUGGAAGUGGAUGCUUCUGACCUCACCCUCUUGACACAUUUCAGAGGAUUGGGGGGGGGGACUGCUUCACCUCAAGUUUGCUCAUAUUGCUAGGCUGUGUUUCUAUCACACUCUGAGGUGAACAAGAAGGGGAGCAGCUGGAGGGGGGUAUGGUGCACCCCUUAAAGCCAGAGUGUUAUAUUAAUGUAUGGUGGUAAUAUACAGGAACCUAAGUUGGCUGAAUGAUUCCCAAGUGCGAAUCAUAGCUCUUGGAAAUAUAUGUACUAUUGCAGCCCUCAUCUGUCUCAAGAGUAUCUGGCUUUCCUCGAAAACCCCUUGUGUUUCCAUGUCGCUGUCAAAUCAUGUUACAGCCUCCAGUCACAUCCCUAGCUGUAAAGAGAGAUGGCAGAAAAGAGCCUCAUGGGACAGAUCACCCUGGAACAUGUCAUUUGUCAUGUGGGUCACGGUCUGUUUGGAUUUUGCUUUUUUACCCCCCCCCCCCAUUUCCCCCUUUUGCCAACAGCAGAGUUAAGUAAAAAUGACACUGGGUGUAUUAUUAGAGCCUUUCUGCUUUCUAUUGAUCAGGCCUCACUGGCGGUCUAGGGUCAUAGUCUGGGCGGCCGUGCUCUGUUAAAGAGGGGAUGGUUGGAAAGGGUCCAAACCAGUGAGGAAAGAUGCUUUAGAUCUAAUGCAGAAAGGUUGAAAAGGCUGGUGGGUCUGCCCUGCCCACAGAAGCAAAGGGAAUUGCAGGAUAUGUGAGAGGCAUUCCAAAUGUGAGUCAGAACCAUGUGGUUUUGUUCCAUCCCCUUUGCCCUAUUCCAUUUUUUGGCUGGCAUCCCAAUCCCAUGAGUAUGUGUAAGGAUCUGCUGCAGUGGUACCACCAUGUGCACCAGAACAAGCUGAGGCAGUUGAAAGGAAUAAAGGUCCCUGUCUUCCCAGAGUUCCUUAAGCCUUCUCCUCCCCUGGAUCCUUCCCUAGCAGCCUGAGGCUCCUUCAUCUUGUUUCUCUAUGCUCUGCACUCUUCAUUCCUCUCUGUGUUCUAGGAGACAUGGGGGGCGGGAAUAACUGGUCACAGCAGGAGGAGGAGAUCCCUGGCUUCCUCAACAGCCUGUCUCAUCUCUGCCUCUAGUAGCCCCUCAUCUCCAACCUCUGUUUCUGCCUCUGGACUGCUCUCUGCCACAGCCUCUUCCUUCUCACUAAACCCUGUUGCCUCUUCAGCUUCUGACACCUCCUCCUCCCAGUCUGCCCCAUCUUCUCCCUCUGACCAGGUAUCAUCGUAUCAUCGUACCAUCACCAGUCCCCUGGCUCUGAGCCUUCUUCCACAUGGGGUUCCCUUGGGGGUUCCCCAACUGGUACCUCCCACCACUCCUUUGCAUCCUAUCAGUCCAUGUCAAAUACCACCUGAAUAUUAAUUUAUGAGAAGUCUUUUUAAGUUUAUGCAGAACAGACUUUAGCUAUGCCACCAGCUGGAAAGGUGGUGUUUUUUCAAAAACGUUUUGUUCAUGUGACUUGACUUGCUUGUUUGAGCCAUCUGAUUGUGCUUGCCACUUGAAUAGGCUUCCAUUUGUGGGUAAAGGGAGAGCGGCACUGAUGAUGUCUUGCCAGGCACCCAUCACAAGCCUGAAGGAAAUUCUGAAGGAGUGCUUGAUAGACUCUUCCAGACAAACAGAGGCACAAACUGAACCUACAGCAACUGCCUUUUAUAUGUGCUUAUCAGAUUCACUCCUCACCUUUGACAUGCUCUGAAUAUACACCUGAGAGAGUUUCUCUUCCCAACCUUUCCAGCAUCUGGAAAGGUAUACGAGUGGGGCCCUAUGGCAGAUCCUUUUUUCCCCCGUCUCACAGAUGAGGAACUGAGACCUUAUUUUCCCAUGGACUCUCCCAAGUUGGAUUUGACCCCAGGUAGCCUUGGGGCCUCACUAGAGGCAGACAUAGAGGUGACACGUGAUUUGCAACUACUGCCGCUGAAAAUGGCAGCCAGACAUUUGAGUUAUUAAUUUAUUGCUAUUAUUUUUAAUUGCAUUUAUAUCCCACUUUUUCCUGCAAGGAGCGCAAGGUGACAUGCAUUUAAUUCCCACAACAACCCUGUGAGGGAGGUUGGGCUGACAGGCAGUGAGCUUUGUGGCUGAGUGGGGAUUUGAACCCUGGUCUUCCAGGUCCUAGCCUGGCACUCUAACCACUACACCACGUCAGCUCUCAUGUUCUCCCACCUCCUGCUUUUCUCUUCAGCUGGUUUUCUCCGUGGGGUUGCCAAACAAUGAUAUGGAGCAAGGAUAGGGAAUUAUAGGUCGGCUGACUUUGCUGCCUCUGAACCUAGAAGGGUGCAUGCUGGCCACUGAGGUUUGCAGCCCAUGGACAGACUUUUUCCUAUGCAUUUGUCCUUUCCGCUCCUUUGAAGCCCUUCUCACCCCAUGGCAAUCACCCCCUAUUGUACUAACAGAGGCCAUAAAUGAGUGGCUAACACCUAGCAUUUUCUUCCAGGCUGAGCAAGGAGUGCUUUCCUCCUGAGGCCAUCCAAUGGGUUAAUGUCGGAGCCUGGGACUUGAACCUGCCUCUGCUCAGGGAUCCAUAUACAUUACAGCACAGUGGGGGCAAAGUGAUGGUUUUUAUUGUUUUCUGAAAUCCGAUUUCAUAACAUGGUUAGUUCCACAUUACAGAAGCAACCGAGCCUGCAACCCUCUGGUAAAUAAGAAUAAUAGCAAUUAUAUCAUGUCCAAUCUUCUUCCUUUACGAGUCCCCCUUUAGGGCUUUUUCAGUCCACCAGGUUCCAGUCGCUUUUCGGUUCUGCAAACAUGCGCAUUGCAGCCAGAAAUCAAAUGGGAGAGAGAGAGAGAGAGAGAGAGAGAGAGAGAGAGAUUACUAUUUCCCAGCUGCCUUCCGGGGGCCCUGCAGCCCACUGUGCACAUCCAUACAUCAGGAAAAUGACCUUUUGGUAUUAUUUUUUCCUCCAUUUCCCUACUGCUGGAGAGGUUGGGGUGGGCAGAGGGGAAGUAAUGCGUUCUCUCUCUAUGUCUCUUCCUCUCUCUAUUUCCAGUUGACUUCACUCAGAGCUGUGGAGCAUCUCUGCCUGGGGGAGGAGGGAGGGGGCAUAACAACCGAAAGAACCAGACUGAUUUCCACCUUCUUUGUUAAACAGAGGAAACAUUACCGAGGGAAAGUGGCCUAUUUUCAGGGGAAGUGGAUUAAAUUACCCUAUGAAACAUGAGAUCGGAGGAGGAAGCGGGGGCAGGGAAGGGCCAGGCUUGCAAUGUCACUGUGUGUGUGUUGAUGUGCACAUAUUUUUACACACACACACAUUGUGGCAAUGGAGUCUCUGCCUCAGACUGGCUAGCCUGGUGUGAUGUCACAGAAUGUCCAAAACAUUCCAAGGGUUCAGGGGAGGAAGCAGCUGUCCAAUGAAAAGGCUGCUGUUCAGCUCUUCAGAGGGAAGAUAAGGUUGGUGGCCCCAGGCCUAGAAAGGAUUGUGUGUGGCAGACUGAGGGUAGCAAAGUGAGUGGGAAGAGCUCCUGAGAGGUCAGUAAAGUGAUGCACAGGAACUGAAGAGGAAGAACAGGUGCAAGAAGAGGAGGACACGGAGCUAUGGGGCAGGAAGGGCUCCUUAGAAAGUGUUUGGUGGACAACCUCAGAGGCCUCAAGGGCAGGAGAUGCUGUAUGAUCUUAGUCUGGCCACAAGCUGGGGGCCAAUUUAGGGGAGCACUGGGCACUGAGCCUUGGAGGCACCACAGAGGAUGCCGCAACUUCGAUUUAGAAAUGGAGUGCAGGAGGCAGGGGUGCCGAAUUUUGGCAUCGCACAGGGUGCUGCUGUAAUUUGAGAUGCCAAGGUCCACCAUUGCUAGUGGAAGUGUGGCAGAAUAGAGAGAGUCUGAAUAUAUACUACAGUGAUUGGAAGGGGCAGAUUCAAGGAGUCUGUUCUGUGUUUCCCAAUUUGAACUGUGACUCUGGUAGCACCUUUUCAAAUAAACUGAUAUUCUAGGGACUUCAACUUCUGUAUGUUACACCACUAUAAAGGUAAAGGUAAAGGUACCCCUGCCCGUACGGGCCAGUCGUGUCCGACUCUAGGGUUGUGCGCCCAUCUCACUUAAGAGGCCGGGGGCCAGCGCUGUCCGGAGACACUUCCAGGUCACGUGGCCAGCAUGACGAAGCUGCAUCUGGCGAGCCAGCGCAGCACACGGAAACGCCGUUUACCUUCCCGCUUUUUAAAGCGGUACCUAUUUAUCUACUUGCACUUGGGGUGCUUUCGAACUGCUAGGUGGGCAGGAGCUGGGACCGAAAGACGGGAGCUCACCCUGCCGCGGGGAUUCGAACCACCGACCAUGCGAUUGGCAAGUCCUAGGCACUGAGGUUUAACCCACAGCGCUACCCGUGUCCCUAUAAGUCCCUAUAAGUAUAUACCACUAUAAGUGCUGUUAUACCGAGUCACACUGGUCUGCCUAGCCAGUGGUGGGCAACCUCCAGGCCCUGGCCUAAUUGCAGAUGCUAGGGGCCCACUCUUGUUCUCUGGGCUACCUUUCUGGGAUUGCUGCCUCUUCUUUCUUUCUUUCUUUCUUUCUUUCUUUCUUUCUCUCUCUCUCUCUCUCUCUCUGUGUGUGUGUGUGUGAGAGAGAGAGAGAGAGAGAUCCUCCACAUGUCUCUUAUAUAUUAUACAUCCAUAACAAUAUCAAGUGGAUAUACAUGAUCCCACUUUCAAUACUGUGCAUGUUUUAGGGCCCAUGUACUGCUGCAUUCUCCUGCCAACCUGGCAGUUCGAAAGCACGUCAAAGUGCAAGCAGAUAAAUAGGUACCGCUCCGGCGGGAAGGUAAACAGCGUUUCCGUGCGCUGCUCUGGUUCGCCAGAAGCGGCUUAGUCAUGCUGGCCACAUGACCCGGAAGCUGUACGCCAGCUCCCUUGGCCAAUAAAGCGAGAUGAGCGCUGCAACCCCAGAGUCGUCCACGACUGGACCUAAUGGUCAGGGGUCCCUUUACCUUUUUUACUGCUGCAUUGCCAUUCAGUGCAUGCCCUGUAGCUUCCUGCUGAAAUCGUGUAACUUUCCAUACCAUGACCAUUCCAGGGUGGUUGUUCUCCUGCUUCUGUUGCACUGUAGCACAGGAGUGCCCAUCCAGGAAGCAAUAAUGUGGUGACAUUGGGGAAGCAUCACAGAACAACUAAUAAGGCAGAAUCAUAUUGAGCAGCCCACUAUAAAUCUGCCACCAAUGCAGUCUAACUGCCUCAGUGACAUAAUGCAGCAGGCACCUCCCCCAAACCCGGAGAGAAUGCAAGAGGGUGCUGUGCGACCCUGCAGUCCUACAAAUCCCACCCACUUGUGGCUCUGGCCCCUCCCACUGCUGGCAUGCAGCCCCCCAAAAAUGGCUUGUUGAGGGAAGGUGACGCUCAGGAGUUCCCCACCCCAAUCCAGGCUGAUUAUGACAACUCUGUCUGGUAGCAGCUUUCCAGUGUUCUGACUCCAGGGCUUCCCUGUUUUGCUGCCUUGAUUCCUUAUCUGAACCAGCAGCCUUAUUCAUGCAAAGCAUAUCCUUUAUCCCUGAGCCCUCCCUUCUUGGGAUGUUGCCCCAGAACAGCUGACAGUAAGCGGUGCAAAGCAGAGCAUUGACUCCCAGUGGGCCUAUGAUGCCAAUUUAAAUGGCAGGGAAGGGUGUGCAGAAUGGCUAGUGGCUCACUCAGUCUUCAUAAUGGGAGAGGAACGUGUCGCUUCUGUUUAGGUCUUGAUUUAUGCAAUUGGAUCUGUGUAUGGACUCCUGCUCUGCUUCCUCGUUUUCCAUAUGUCCACUAGAAGUGAAUUUAUUGAGGAGAACUUUGAAGCUUCUUAUGCAAUAUUCAGGUGGACUGAAAUUCUCUCCCAGAGUAUUUAGGGUGGGGUUUUUUGUUUUUGUAUUUUCUUUGUUGGUUUGUUCUUCAUAGCUCAUGCAGCAAACAUGGGGCUUUAGUGAGAAUUACAAGGAAAAAAGAAGGUAACUCCCUACCCCAAUGAGCUUACAGUAUAAUAAUAAUAAUAAUAAUAAUAAUAAUAAUAAUAAUUUUAUUAUUUAUACCCCGCCCAUCUGGCUGGGCCUCCCCAGCCACUCUGGGUGGCUUCCAAAAAUAUUAAAAUAAUGUAAUACAUCAAAAUAAUGUAAAACAUAAAAUGUUGACAGUCAGCCGGGGGGGGGGGGCAAAGGAUUAGGCGAGCAUAUAACAGAAAGAAGAGGGGAAUGGAAGAGGCAAAGGUAACAAGGCAUGAAUGAAGAAGUAUAGAUAAGGCCAUGUGCCAGUCGGGGGUGGGAAUCUCUCUGUAGAAACUGUGUGCCAAGAAAAUCCAAGUUUUGCAACAAAUAUAUUUGCAGGAUGAGAGCUUAGGAAGCAGCAUCUCAUCCAGUAGUGUCUGCUCUGGGUCCCAGGCAGAGAGGGAUUUUCUCCACUCCUUGCUCCCUGGUCUGUCUGCCGCCUGCAUCAGGGGCAGGGUGUACAACAGGGUGCUCUCCGGAUGUUACUGGACUGCAGCUCCUUCAUCCCUGGCCACUGGCUGUGCCGAUGGAGAGGGGAGUCCAACCACAUCUAGAGGGCCAAGUUUCCCACACCCCUGGAGAUGCCAGGGAUUGAACCUGGGACCUCCUGCCUGCAGAAUAUGUGCUUUCCCACUGAGCUGCAGCCUCUUCCAUCUGAUACAGCUGCGACAAGGAAGCUGGUGCUGAUGGCACUGGGGGUUGGAAGUGGUAUAUCAGUUUUCUAAGGAGCAUGUAAGUGCUACUGCGGCUGGGGACAGGGAGAGAUGGGUAAGUCCUUUCUCCUGGCGAGAGGAGCUCUUUUUCACCACUUAGCAGCUAAGCAGGGCUUCUUUGCAAUUGCCUCUCUGUCUCCUGCUCUCACUCACAAGCCAGUAAGGGAGACAGAAUGGGCUUUCUGAGCUGGCUGCACACAGCCUUGUUCACAAACCGCCCACAAGAGUCUAACAGCAGCUGACAAGUGACUGUGGGUCAUGGAUACAGUUUGGCAGAAGCAGCAAGAGUACAGUAGCGACGGCAAAACAAAUGGGUGAUGUGGUUCUACACUGAAGAAGUGUGUUAAGGCCUCUGCUGGAGCCCCCCUCUGCAUCUCUCCAGGUGGCUGCUUUGCAAAAGGGGGGGGGGGAAUGAGCUUAGGCAGGAGGAAGUUUAAUCUGUAGUAGUUAAGUAGAUCUGAGUGAGUGAGUGAGGAGAUCUGUGGUUCAAAUCUCAUGUUCCCCAUAAUCUCACUGUGUAGCAAUAAAUAAAAUAUCCCUCUCUCCCCUCCAUCUACAUUAUGGGGGCAAUCUUGACCUAACUUUCAGGGUUGUUGUAAGGAUUCCAGAUAAAUUUGCUUAAAGUGUUUUGAACACUUGAAAUGUGCAAUAUAAAUACCUGUUCAUUUUUUUUAAAAAAACGGUGUGUAUAUAUAUAUAUAUAUAUGUGAACUAACAGCAUCCCUGUGUAGAUUUAAUGCUAAGCUUAUAUCUUGGGAAGUACACCUUUUAAAAUGGCAGGUGCCAUCCAACAUGCAAGCCUAGAAUAUCUAUUUUGGGUGGUACAGACUGCAGGCUUUUGCGUUUACUUGCCUCUGCCUGUAGCACAUACCACAGGGCAGAACUACUGCCAUGAGUUGAAGGCUAGAGGAAUCUGUUAUGCACUGCAUACACAUCCAGCUUCUUCAGAAAUGUCUGCAGUCCUGAAACUGGCAUGAGUCCAGCUGAGAUGCUUAAGCAAACACUUUUUGCCUGUGUCGGUAUGAUCUCCACAGAUCAAUCAACCCUCAGAAUCCAAGGCUAGUUGCAUUCUUAGUGGCAAUAGUUAGGACAGAGUCUAUUCUACUGGUUCAUUUCAAAGCAGGGGGAUCUAGUAACCAUUUAACAGUCAGCGUGGAAGGAAAGGAGAGUUCUUGUAUCUGUGAAUGAGGAGCUGUCCUCCCUGGCUGUAGUCUUGGUAGACUAACAUUUCUGCUUUGAUUGCAGGUUAUUGGCUGCUGUUAAUUACCCUUUCCCCAUUCUCCUUCGUAAGUUAAGCACAUAAUUUGGCAAUGUGAAUUGAAUUCAACAUCUCUAGAAUCAUUGUUUUUAUAUUGUAAAAAAACCCAGACACAAGUUUUUAGCUCUCUAAAUGUUGGAAAUACAUGUAAACAAUUUUUGAUGGGAUUGCUCAAGCUAGAGAGGAGGCUGGGUGAGAUUUCCAAUGGUCAGAAGGCAGUACUGCUGCCCCAUGCUUAAAUCCUUGCUUUUCCCAGUGACUAAACACAAAAGCACAUUCAAAUAUGUGAGAGUUGCAUAGCAUAUGCAGGUAAUAGAAACAACUGGUGCUGAUUUCCGUUACACUCAGUGCUGACUGCUUUAUGCAACAGGCACACAUACAUUGAUGCUCUUUCCCCUCAUCGUCAUCUGCUACCUGUUCCACUGAGAACAACGCUGAGCCAAGGGAGCCGAUUCUGCUGGACAGCGAACCCCAAUGGCAUUGUUUGGCAAGCCUGCUUAAUCUCCACUGUGGGAUCCUCUGGCUCAUCAAUCAAAGUGGAAUUGGUGUAAUACAUCAGUAGAUAAUAGAAAGGACAGUGCAGUGUUCUUUAAAAACCUAGGAAUGACAGACAGUAAGCUGUCAUUCCUGACAUAUGUAUUUGAUGACUGUGCAUGAUAUUAAUUUUAUCUGUCAUAGCAAUAAAUGAAUGAUACUGCUCAGUGCAUCAGAUCUGUAUUUCUUAAGUGAUCAUUAUUAUGAGAUAUUGUUUUUCCAGGUAGAUAAGCUAUCUUUAGAGUUAAGGAUGUCUGGUGCAUAGAUUUAUGCAUGUUGGCUCUGAUACAUCUAUGCGCGGGCAGGCAGGCAAGCAGAAACACAUUGAUACCAAUAAAAAACAAGUUCCCAUCCAAUUCUCAUUUGACAGGGGUCAUCAUAACUACAUCAAGAGGAGAAAGGAAAGAAAAGGAGAAAGGAACUUGGCAAGGCUGCUUUGUCUGUGUGUUGGCAGGAAAUUGCUUGCAAAGGGAAUUCAUUGGCUUGAGCAAUAUUAAGAUCAGAAUGGCCCAUCAAGAGCAUCCAGUGUGACAAUUCAGCUGGAAAGGGCAUUGAAUUCUGACCAAGUCUUACUGAGGAACCUUCUUAGAACUUUAAAAUGGUGGUAAAGGCCUUGGGGGAGGGGGAAUGUUUCAGGAGACUUUCCACCCAUGGUGUCCCAGAUUAUACCUCUGGACCCCCAACUAGCUCAGAUCUGUUUGUUUGUUUGUUUGUUUGUUUGUUUGUUUUUACUGUGGACCUCCAACAAGUGCCCCACAAGACACUUAUUAUAUUCCUUUCAGCAGCUGUUAAACUGGAAAUAUCCACCAUUAGAGCCAUAUAUUCUUUUUCCUCCAGACUUUGAGCUACCAUUUUGGUCUUACCAUCUUCAUCAAUCCAUAAGCAAUCCAUAAAUCAAUCCAUAAGCAUUGAUUUUUAAUAAUGGGAGACUUCCUGGUGUUUUGUCGGUAUCAGCACCCUUCCCAUUUAUUAUACUAGUUUGUGUACAUGGAUGUCUCAAG